rnacentral:lncRNA from 1 species
UUUCUCUCUCUCUCUCUCUCUCUGUAUAAUGUCUUUGGGGACGUUGUUUGUGGCAAUUCAAUAUUCAUGCCAAGUGGGAUGCCAAAUACUAUAUACUAUGAUCUGGGUGCAACACUUGUGGUGUAGUUGUGUAGGUUAAUUAUAUUAUAUCUUAAAUCUUUUUUUUUUUUGUCGAUAUAUUAUAUCUUAAUCUACUAGUUGGCCAAGGGAUAGAAUACAAUAUACAUAUAUGUGUGUGUGUUUAAAUAUGUAUAACUCGUAUAUGUUUGUUAGGCUUUUAUAUGUAUAACUCGUAUAUGUUUGUUAGGCUUUUAUAGUAGCAACUUAUUAUUAAUCUACUACCACUUGCUUCCAUACUAAAUGGGUUUGAAUAUGGCUUUGGAUGAGAAUCAAACCAUGAUCUUGGGAACGUGGAGACAAAUCUGUAAUAACGACGCUGACUGGAACGCUUUCAUAGUAAAAUAUGGAGAUUUUAGGUUUAAUUGAAUUAAUAGUUCAUGUGGUGACAGAGUAGUCAAAUAAUAAUUUUUAUUGUAUAAAAAUUAAGAUUUAAAUUUUUGUGAUAAAAUCUAUUAGGAUUUAGGCCCAAAAUUAAAAGUUCUUCAACUCAAUUAAUUGUUAGCAAGUGAUCCUAAAUUGUGAGGCUAAAAAGAUAAAGUUAGCCUCACAUAUGAGCCUCAUAUGCUAAUGGAGAGUUCCGUUUUAGACUCAUAUGUGUGGCACGCGUGCUAACAAUUAACGAAAAGUUGACGAAACUUUUAAUUUUUGAACCCACAACCUAACGGACUUUAUCACACGGGUUUAAAUCCUAAUUUUUUUUUAAUUUUUAUUACAAAGACUAUAUUUCAAUUACCAUGGACCGAUAGUCCAAUUGGGCCGAAAUUUUUUGUAAUAUACACAUUCAUAUUAUAUAGUCAUUAGUGAGGGAAGUUCGUCCACUUAAGACAAACAUAAGAUGGAUCAUUUGUAUUCGGAUGCACUAGAAUGGAUCGGUGUGAAACUCCAAUGCAGGGGGGUUCACCUUCAAUGUGUCUUUAGCAGAAGAGACGUAGUACAAGCUUCCCUGUACAAAAUUGAGAUAGAAUCGAACUCGAUCGACAUGCUGAGGACGGGGACGACGACAGACACGGCUGUGGAAGGUAUUGUUCAAUAUAUCAACACCUCUGCGGCAAUUUAAGCCAUGUGGUUUUCCAGUUUACUCCUAGAGAGUGCAACUAAGCUGCACAUGCUACAUAGCAGCUUAUGUUUUCGGCAGAACAAUGUUUUAGAUGUGAUUAAAAUAAAAAAUGGUUAUUCAUUUGGUCGCAGAUGCUUGAAAAGGAUCCAGCGAGGUACAAUGAACGGACACGAUCAUAGGAUCUCCUGGAUCUCCAGGAAAAGGAUCCGGCGAGGAUCCUUUUCUGCAAAUUCUAAUGUAACUGUUCGUAUUUAAUCAAUAAAAUCUUUCUACCACUUAUUACUACGAUUUGAUGAUAUUCCUUCAUUUGUAAGUAAAAGGUCUUAAAUUCAAAUUUCGUAGAUGUUGAGUUCAAUACCAAUUAUUCCUCCACCCCUUAUCGUAAAUAUAUCUUCAGAUUAAAAAAAAAAAAACAAUGAAAUCUUCAUAUCGUUGCAAAAAAGGGGGGAAAAACUACAUUGCUAAAAUAGCGAAGGCAAGUAGUAGAAAAGGCAUUCAAUGGUGAUCCAGACGUUUCAUGUUUCAUAGAAACGAGAGAGAGAGAGAGAGAGAGAGAGAGAGAGAGAGAGAGAGAGAGAUUAUCACCGAAAUGUAUUAUAAGCGUUGUCUUGCACUGCAUUGCAAAGAAUUAACAUUCAAAUUUCUAAUUUCAACUUUCAGUUGACGAAGGGGGUGUAAUAAACACCCCAAAUAAUGCUCCCCCCCAAAAUUACACAUUCUACAGCUCUCCAUUACAUUUGUUAUCCUAUACAAGCUUUCUAACAAGGACAUGCACGGAAUAUUUUGGGGAGAGAUCAACGGUGCCUUCCGAAAGAGCUGUAUCUAGCAAUUUCUAUUACUUCUACUUGUCAAACCGAGCAGGAGAAAAGAAAAGAAAUAGGAAACAAGAGCAGUACCUCCAUUUUAAGGCGCAUGGCCGGACAUUUUGUGACUGGUAUUCUAUGACUUCUUUGACAACAAAGCAACCUCCAUUACCUGCUGUUUCUUCAGAUACCUCUGAGCGGUUGCAUUAACAAUCUUGACAAAGAAAUUCAACAGCAUAAGCCACACCAAAGAGUUCCAAAUUGAGGCAAAUGAGAAGUCCCACGUAUUCACCUGCCAAGGAUUUUGAAUUAGACAAAUUGAAAUAAACCCGCACCUGAGAUCAAAACCGACAACAUAGAAGUUCAAAGCCAAUGUAGCAUUAUAAUCAGUAGAGUUACCUUGAUAUUUGACGAAGGAGAAGCUGUGAGAUACUUUUCCUUUGCCGCAUCAAUUUUCGCAAUGAGGUUAGGAAGGACAGCAGCAAAACCGGGAAUGAGACUGAAAACCCAAAUCAAUUCAUUCUCUAUCCAAUUAAGAAGUUGAUUGUUGCAAACUGAGAUGAUGAAAACUGUCUGCAUAUAUAGAAAAUAAGCAAACCACCACCAUUAAUCAGAAGCCAAUACGUAACAUCUGGUGCCAAAGUAUAUACCAAAAGUGAAAACUAAAAAUAUUUUGCGUAAGUGAAACCAAAACAUACCAAAAGGAACUUUACAAACCUGUAGAUGAGUUUUAAUAAUUGCCUUUCCAAUCACUGUUGCAAGGAAAAACUUCCAAAAUGGAAUACCAAAUUGUCCACACAUAAUGCCAGCCAGGUCAAAAAGAGGAUUUGGCACCUGAAAAGUAUCCCGGUUAACUGGCAGGUUACAAUGAAAAUAGUAAUUAAAACAAUUUUAUGAUAAGCAUAACACGUUAACAAGUGAUGCUUUCUGUGAUCAAACAAGAAGUGCAGCAGUACAAGUAUAUAUGAACACCAGCUUUAAUGCGUAACAUACUUCCGAAAUCUCAAGACUUAAAAGUUGGAUUUUAAAGACUAACAUGAACUCGUAGAACUACUGUAUGGUAAUAGAAAUCCAAAAUUCAUUCAGUUAGCAUAUCUGUUCGUGUAAUAUUGAAUAAGAAUUCUCUGUAAUGAAGGGAAAAUAAUAGAUUUCAUAUGGAAAAGCAUAAAAGCUCACUUGGAUGAAACUAAAUGUUAUAUUUUCUGGUAAUGGUAUUCUAGUAAUGAUGUUCAAACUAACCGAAGCAAGUACUAGGAUCGUAAAGAAGUUCAACUGCUGAGAGUGUGAUAGAAGCCAGUGCUUGAUUGGGUUUAGACGAGUAGCUAUGAAUCCUGUUCCUUCAUCUGAGGGAUCAUCCAAUUCUUCCAUAGCAACUUUGUUACCAGACACGCUUGCUACAUGAAGCAAUAAACCAAAAGAAGAUCAGAAUCAAAUAUAUAAAUAACGUAGAUCAUUUGAUGAAAGGUCUCCUCCCUCCCCCUAUCCAUUUUUAUUGUAUGCUAAUGGCUCUGCAUGCCUGCCCUUGCGAGUAAAUACUUAGCACAAAUAUUAGUUGUAUGAGAGUUUAUCAACCUACGGUUUGUUCUGCUCACCUGCUCUUGAGAUAAAAUAUGGAGGAAGCUCUCCAAUUGCAGUCCCAAGACCCCAUAAAACAGCCUCUAACUGGACCUGUGGUAAUAUGCUGCUAAGUGGAACCCGCAAACCAUGUAAUGAUGGAAACAAGGGUGGUCCAAAGUCAGAGCAGCUCUUCCCAAGCCACGAAGGGCCUUGUUUUAGCUGUAUUGUAUCGUAGGGGGCACUUUUUAGAUCAACCCGACCACACUGCAUAGCCUUUAAUGUAAAGAACGCAAUAUGGGGGCCCAGAUAUAGGACAAACGUGUGCAAACCAGAUCCUGAAGGAAAAAUAAGCAAAAGUCUUCAUAUAUCAGGUAGGCUAGGUCAAUGCAUACCAGGAAAGAUGUUGCUAAGUAGUUAAAAACAAUAUCAGACGAGAUGCUCUUUCUUGUUCAAAAUAUGAAAAGCAUGGCCAUUGACAACCAGAACAUCCUUUUCCCGAGUUUAAAUUACUUGCACCAUCAGAAAUUCUGAUAUAGGAACAAGGAUUUUGUCAGGUUGCUUACCAAGACCAAUCGAAGAUGCAAUUCCAAGGGCCACCCACCAUAAACCAAACUGGAAAUAUUUGGCAAGUUCCUCAAGAUGCUGCAGAAAUAUGGCAACAACUUGUAUUCAUAAUUCCCAAGAAGCAUUUAAACAAAACAACUAAGAUAAAUGCGAACACAGUAUGUAAUAUCAUGGUUCACCAUCAGGAGGGUACAAAUAAUAUGCAUCUAAAAAUUAACAUCCGGACCACACAAAGUAAACGCGUUAAAGAUUGUUCACUGCCUUGAUAUAUUUAUUAAGUGUCAGCAUUCUUAAAGCAGUCCUAUCCAAAAUAAUAUACAGCUAACAAAGAUGGAGGUAGAGAUUUGAAGUUGGUUCAUAAGAAUAAGUAUCCUUCAUGCAAAGGCAUCAAAACACGGAGCCCUCUGAAAAGGUCGUGACUUGUUAUGACGCAAUCAAGAAGCUACAAAAGGGUUUAGUUGACCCAAGGUUAGAAUCCUAUUUACCAUAUAUAACAGCCCCUAUAAUAAAUGAACAAAAUUUCAGCGAGAAAACCUCUGAUUCAUCUGUACGAACAUAACUUGCUGCAAAAUGUGAUAUCACUAAGAUAAUCUACAAAUAAAUAUAUACCUUUUCAUGAGGACCAUCAAAAGUAAUUAGAAGAACUCCAAGAGACAAUAGCACAAUACUCGAAAGCACAAGCCAACCACCUCUUGCCAACAAAUAUGAUACUAAACGCUUAACAUACUGAAUUACAGCCAAUAUGAAAAACUUCAACGUUCUGAAGGGUUGUGAUGUUAGUGUCAAGUUAUCUAGUUCCUCUUGAUGCUUCUCAUGGAUCCCUGAAACAUAAUGCAACUUAAUCAGUGAGAGAAGACUGAUAGGGUCUACAGCUUCCUUUAGAGAGUGGUGAUGCAUAAUUGAAUUCAUUUACUUUCCAAUCAUAAUUGAAACUUUGGUGACGAAGCAUUAACACAAGAGAAGAGAGGUGGGAAAAAUAGUUUGAACAGAUUAAGUUAUGCACGUCAAAAGUGAAAAAUGAAAGUCACAAUAUUUAUAAGAAAGAGAGAUGGCUACUGUAACAUUCGCAAGAGCAAGUAUACAAGUUGAAUGACCACGGAGAUGGAUACUUCGGUGCCUACUAUAUCUCAGAUGGAAGCUUUUUAACUAGAACAUGACAGGAAAGCCUUUACCAAACAAUUUGAAUAAUCUAAACUACAUAAAACAUUUGUAUCAUAUCCUUCAACCCAUAAUCCUAUUAAACUAAACACACUCAUAAAGCCCGUUAAGUCGGAAAACGAUAGAAUUGCAGUUUGUCAAUUCAUGAUAAGCAUAAAAAGGAUUCCCAUUUAUUUCAAAUCCAGUAAUCGGAUAGUUUUCGAGAUCAAUCUUCAUAUCUUAGACCCUAUUUCGCUUAAUAGAAUUGUUUGCUUAAGACCCUUUUGGCCUCAAAUGUUACAAUUUUUUUUUUCUUUCUAUUUGCAAUCCACUUAAUAGUCCAAUUAUCAUCCUAAUUCAAAUUCCACUACCAAACCUAAAAGUCUACUUCUUUCCAACAUAUCAAAAGUCUCAAUUCAAUAAGUUAAUAAACACAAACUCCAAACAUAAAACAAAUUCUGGGUUUUCGAUUUGGAGGGCCAGAAAUUAUAGAAAAAUAACAAAGUAAAAUAAUGAAUGAGGAAAUUAGAGAAACUGAAUCACUUGCCUGAGAUCGAAGCGUCUGUGAGUUGAGAGGAUGAAGAAGAAGAAGAUGAAGAAGAAGAAGCAUUUUCUCGCCUAGGGGACCCCAUUGGAGUAAGCUCUCACUGCCCCAAUCAAAAGUUCCCUCCUUUAUACAUGGAAAUAAUACUACGAAAUUUCCAUGUAUGCUUUGCGAUAAUCUUCUCUGAUCUUCAAAAAAAUGGGUUUUAAGAGAAUCGGAGAUUGGAGUGAAUCGAAAAGUACUGGGAAAUUUUAAAACGACCAGGAGUGGAUCGAACAGUUGAAUCAAGGUUUCAGAUCUAAGAAGGAUCCCUCUCCAAAAUAAAGAGAGAGAGGAGAGACAGAGAAAAACGACCAGGAGUUUGCGUGGAGUCCCGAAGUGGAGCUUUUAUCUCUUUCGUAUGGAGUGUCGUAUCCUCCUCCUCCUCCUCCUCCUCAUAUGGAGUGUCGUUUUGGUGUCCACUGUUCUAAGAGAAAUUCUAAAGCAAACUCUCUCAUGAAGUCGAAUUCUAUAAAUUCUCGGUCACCUUAUUUUAUUCACAAUAUUUUAUAAUAUUUGUAUAGAAUUGUGUUAAAAACAUUAGUUAAUGGGGAGUUUAUGAAACUGUCUUAUUUUUUUAGAGAACCUUUUUAACAUUUCUCAUGUUUUAAUUAUGAGCCCAAUGUGUUGAGAGAUUAUUUCACAUACAUGCCAUUAUAUAAGUAGAGGAAAUAAUAUGUUUCUUUCGUAUCUUUUCACUUAUAUUUUGACAUGUGUUUCGUUUGUGGCAAGUAGCGAUUGAUAUGAUGUUUUGGUUUUAAGUUUAAAUCCUUAAGCCUCUUUGUUACAUCCCAUAUCGUCUAUGUGAGUGGAUCAUCUAAGCCUUAUAUGUAUAUUUUCAUCUCUACCUAGCACGAGGCUUUUUGGGAGCUCACUGGCUUCGGGUUCCAUCGGAACUUCGAAAUUAAGCGAGUUCGCGCGAGAACAAUCCCAGGAUGGGUGACCCAUUGUGAAGUUCUUGUCUGAGUUCCAGAAACAAAACCGUGAGGGCGUGGUCAGGGCCCAAAGAGGACAAUAUCGUGCUACGGUGAAGUCGAGCCAGGGAUGUGGUGGGGGCCCGGGUUGGGAUGUGACAAUUUGGUAUUAGAGUCAAUCCCUGGCCGGAAGUGUGCCAACGAGGACGUCGGGCCCCUAAGGGGGUAGAUUGUUUCAUCCCACAUCGCUCAGGGAAGUGGAUCCUCUAAGUUUUAUAUGUAUAUUCACAUCUCUACAUAGCACGAGGCCUUUUGGGAGUUUACUGGCUUUGGGUUCCAUCGGAAUUCUAAAGUUAAGCAAGUUUGCGUGAGAGCAAUCCCAGGAUGGGUGACCCACUAGGAAGUUCUCGUAUGAGUACCAGAAACAAAACUGUGAGGGCGUGGUCGGAGCCCAAAGCGGACAAUAUCGUGCUACGGCGGAAUCGAGCCCGGGAUGUGAUGGGAGCCUGGGCUGGGAUGUGACACUCUUGGUAUAGUUUAAAGUAGUAAUGUUGUAAUAAAAAUAGAAUUGUUAUUGGCAGUCUAAUAUUUUUAUUGUGCAAUCUAAACAUUCUAUAUUUAAAAUGAAAUACAUUUGUGAAGAGUGCAUAAUGUAAUUUUUAAUGUGUUAAUAAUAGUUAUCUCCACAUAGUUGAGAUAAAAUGACUUUAAAUGUUCUAUAUUUAAAAGAAAAUACCUCUAUUUUGGCCCCCACUUUCUCUUUUCUAGAUAAGUUUAUUCUUAUUUUCUUUUGCCAAAAAAAAAAAAAAGAAAAAUCUCAAUCUUUUUUCUUAUUAUAUCUUUGAUUUUCUUCCUAGUAUGAUGAUCCAUUAAAAUGGAUGCAAACUCCCUUAAAUUUGGUGAAAGAAUUGAAGCUUUUUUUGGUGUAUUUUUUUAUUAGGUUGGCGGUAGCUUACAUAGUAUUGUUACUAGGUUGCCCCUCAUGAUUAUUUAGUACAUUACAAGGAUGUUUUAACUUUUAAGGCCAAAUUGGAUCAUUCAUCCCCGUGGUCAUAAGAAACUUGCAUGAUGACCCUUGUGGUGAAAAAACUAGGAAUUAAACCUAUGUGGUCAAGAAUGAUAGCAAAUUUAGUCCAAAAGUAAGAUUUCUGUUAAAUGAUUGUUAAAAGUAUGGGUAAUUCUGUUCCAAUUGACAUUUAAAAUAAAUAAUUUUUUAUAACAAUUAACAAAAAAAUUAAUGCUUAAUUUUUUAAAUAAAAAAAAGCCCCAAUUCAAUGUCAAUUGGAACUGAAAAUACAGUUUUGCCCCAACUUUUAACAGUCCUUUAACAGAAAUCUUACUUUUGGACUAAAUUUGCUAACAUUCUAGACCACAAGGGUUUAAUUCUUAGUUUUUUCACCACGGAGGUCAUCAUGCAAAUGUCCUAUGACCACGGGAUGAACAAUCCAAUUUAGCCAACUUUUAAUGUCGUCAACGAAACUUCUUUCUAUUGAUCUUUGCGCGUCAUAAGAAUGCAUUUGGAUCCUUCAUCACCCCCAUCAACUUUGAAAGUUAAGGAAAGUAUAAGGAGGCGUUUAAUUGAUGAGUAUUACCUCAGUCUAUAACAGUGUCAUACACAAAUCAUCAUAAUUGUUUCAAACAUUCUAGUGAGUACAGUAUUGGGCAAUAGGUUUCGACCUAUGCAUUCAGGAUUCGAAAUUUUUCCUUCCCUAAAUUAGUGUGCAAGAGGGUCAAAUAUAAAUAUACUGCUAAAAGGCCAACUUACUUGAUAACAUCAUGCACCAUUAAUACAAAACAAACUUAAGAUUACAAGUUAUCACAGAAUUAGUCAAAUAUAAUUUUUUUAGCAAUAGACUUAUACUUGACCCUCUUGCACCACAAUCAUAUAGAAUUCAUUUAAUCAGCCUAAAAAUAGGAUGCAUGAUCUUGAAAGAUCUUCAUGUUGAAUUCCUUCUAAAAGAUAGAGAUGGUCGAUACUAAUUGCAUUAUUUACCGAUUUUAACUUUUUGAAAUUUUUUGAAAAGUAGCUAAUUUAAGAGGAACGGAUUGAAUUUUUGUCAAACUUUCUAACAUCUUAUUAUUCUAACCAAAAACCCAAGUAAAAUGUCUUAAUUACCUUUAAUUUACUAAUCAUUUCCAUCUUCUCUUCCCCUCUCCUUCUCCACAUAAGGACAGAUUAGUUAAUGAAAACUUCACCCUAUUGAAGACGUUGGAUUCUUUUCAAUAUUUGCUUUCGUAAUUGGCUAAUUGAAUGAGGCAAUAAGCUGUGUAUUUCUACAUAUUUUUUAGUAAAUCGACAUUUUUACACAAAAAAGAGGGGAAGUUCGGCUAAGUUGUGUAUUUCUACAUAUUAAUUGUUUGCUUAAAGAUCUUUACCAAAUAUAAUACUAUGCUCUGGCAUAUAGUAUUCUUGGAGCAAUGGAUGCAGUCAAUGAUCCAACGGCCAAGAAUUCCGAGGUACAUACUAGAAAAUCCCGGGAUCUUAGUAGCAAUACUUAGAUAUAGGAGAGAUGAAGGGAUGAAUCACCAUUGAGAUGAAAGUGGUCGAUUUUGUCGCAUGCCAUGACUAUAAAAUUAGUAGUCAGCGCAUGAUCUGCUUUUUGCAGAACGAGGGGUUGUGACUCUAUGAGGCUUGCAUGUCAAAUGUGGGAUCCUAAAACCAUAGAAUGGACGAGUUAUUUAAUGAGAUCAUGCCCAACUAUUGUAACAAUUGUAGCAGCUCAAACCUGCCAGAAAAUGAGCCACUUAGUACUAUGGUCAAGUGGUUUUCUCUUCACCGGUAAAUAAUAUUAACAAGGGUAAUUAAGACUUUCUACCUAAUUUUUUUUGUUAGAAUUAUAAGAGGUUAGAAAGUUUGGACAGUUGCUUGUGGCAAUAGUAUGUACAAAUAACAAGAAUUGCUUGCAUGCCUAGAAAAUGUUGGUUUUAGAAGCAAGAGAUAAAGAUGCCUUGUCUAAAAGAAUAUCCCAUCUUGUUCUGUUUGGAGGUUAUAUCCUUGUUAUUUUCAGGACCAUUAGGAUCUAGAGAGGUUUGCACAAAUAAUGCUAGUAGACUAUGGCUAAUAACACAGCACUGGGCAUGUAGAGAUUUAUUCUUCUUUAUAGCUCAAGUGGUUAAAAACUACUAUCAACUAACUAUUGGCCUAAACGUAUACAAUUCAACAGAAAUGAAACAAGAUAAUUAGUUAAUUAUGUCAACCUUUUUUCUUUUAUGUUUGGUCUGUAAACUCAUGCUCUAAUUUGAUCCUUAAGAGGAGAGAUGUUCACUUGUCAUCAAUUAUUACAUAAAGCGCUUAUUAGAUGGAUGAUUCAUUUUUUCGACACGUAACAAAUAUUUAUCAGACGAUAAAUGCUAACUAAAAUAAUAUUUUAAUUACAAAAGAAAAUCAUUAAUCGGAACGUAAAAGAUAGAAAAAUUCUAUUCUAACUCAACCAGUGGAUAGAUGUGGCUUUCUUAAUUGUUACUCUUCUUGUCGUUGAUGGCAUGCGUUGCCCUUUUGGUAGUCAUGCGAUCAAGAUGAAGCAUAAAGACGGGUCAAAGAAAUGGCGUUAGAGAGAGAGAGAGAGAGAGAGAGAGAGAGGUCAGAGACUAACAGAUUAAGGAAAUAAUAAAAACAAAACUGAGGUCUCUAUGCUACAGCAUUUGAUCCUUAAUCCUUAUAAUAUAAAUAUGUAUUUUCACUUAAAAUAAUCUUAAGUGGUAGUUGUGAAUGUGAUGUGAUGACCUAAAUUAUGGAACAGCUCCAAUCAAAACUAAGGUCCACACUUCCACUAUUAAUUGGCCAAUCAAAAGGCGAUACAACAUUUUCUUAUGGAUGUUUGGAGCUUUAUUUUAUUUAUAAAAAACAAUAGUAAGAACAAAUCGAAUUGGUCUAAUUUUUUUUCUUUUUUUAUUCGAAAUGGUUGUUAUCCAGAAGGAUCAAAAUUGGAAAUUCAGUUAUAUUGGUUAUUCACAGAUAAGACCAUUAAUUUUUGUUUCUCCCCACAGAUUACAUUAUAAUACUUAUUUAUUUUUGGAUAGAAUAUAUUGAUUUAUUAUAAAUUAAAAAAUUUAAAUUGAGAACAGUAGUAAACUGUCACAGCUGGUUGGAUGCAUGACUGCCAAUUAUUAUGAAGCAGCAUGUGUAAAUUGUAAUCAUGCAAAAUAACACUUCUCCGAAUCUGUAUGAAUAUUUUUUGUGUACUUCCUAUUUAGUAUUAAUAUUAUUGAACUCUCAGAUCAUAUGUUAGCCAACAAUUUUCUUAUGAAACAAAACUAAGAUCAUGGUGCUAUGUUGUGCAAAAAUUAAUUAAUAAUUCAUUUACGUCUGAAACCUGUAUAGAUGGACAAAACAUUGUUUAAUUAUCUUCGGCCGGUACUCGGAGCUUGAAUUGAGUUUAAUUUUGCAGUGAUGUUUAAGCCAAGGCCUAUAGAUUUUGGUAUGCCUGCUUCAUUACGGGCCUGCAUUGGUGCUCUGUUACAAGCCUAACUCAGCCCAAAUCUCACAUUGCCUUGUUUUCUUCAUGCUAGACAAUUUACCAUUUAAAGUGUAUCACAUGUAAGUUAUGAGAUUUUUUUACAAACGAUAGCGUUAGUGCGUUAAAUUGUUAGUUAUUAAAGUGCAUAGGUAUGAUUGUUUUCUAUCACUGCAAUAAAACGUCAUCUGCAGUGAUAUGACUUAAAUUGAUAGAAAGUUAAAAACAAUAGUUACGAAUCUUAGGGAGAAACUAGCAUUUUUAAUGAAUUUAAGGACUUUUUUUCUUUAAAAAUUUUACUUUCACUCGUGUAAUAAUUCAGGACCAAAUCAACACAUUACACUAUUCUUACUAAACAAACCAAGAUUUGUAAUUUAUGUAAAAAUAAAUUAGGGUAUUAAGUCCCAAUUAUGAACUUAAUGUUCUAGUUAUCUUGAGCUCGAGCCUGAAAUUUGGAUAAAAAAACAACGAUUCUCUCAAGAAUUCAUUAUGACUUAGCACCGACAAACUAAUCAUUUCAAGCUAGUUUCCAAAUAUAAUUCUAGAUUGAUUAGAAUCACCUCUAGAAUGAAUUGUGUGGAUUUGCUUGAAAAAACAAUCAAAACUUUUAAUUUCUCUAAAUUACUAUUUAAUUGAUUAUGAAUUUCUAUUGAAUUUUACCAUUUGGUGUCAUGAGUAUAAAAAAUCUAGUAUUUAUGCAACGAGGCCACAAAUUUUCAACCUCCAAAAUCUCAGAAUUGAUCCCAUUAUAUUCGUUAACCAAUACUAAAUUACUAAUAUGUCCAAGAAAAAGAAGAAACGUGAAACCCGCGAAAAUGUUUCCAAGAAAAUCAUUAAUUCUCUCUUUUCCCUCCUCCUUUUGAGGUGGGGUGGUUUCAAUUCAAGUGGGGAGAGCACUUGCUCUCUUUCGGUGGAAGGGAGAGAUUUGCUAAAAGCUUUCCUGAAGCAUUUUCGGUUGCUUUUCAAGUUUCUUCGUUUUUGUUAUCUUGUAUUCCACUUUGCAUCGAUUCCUUCCAUGGCCAACAAGAAAAGGAGGGCAUAGGCAAAUUAUUGACCUUGACUAUAACUUCAUGCUCAAAUUUGGUAUAUACUUGCCCGAUUUGACUGUAUGAAUUUCUUUUAAUUAAUGUUAAAAUUGCCUGUAAGAUAUCUAAAGUUUGAAAUUAUACUAGUGCAUCUCGACCGACAACUAGAGAAAUUUUUUCAUGUGAUGCUCAUUUUAUACAUUACUAAUUCACGCGUUAUAAUGAAUGAACAACAUAAUUGAUAUGUCAUCGAUCUAGAGUAUAAUAUUAAUAUUAAUGAAAAAUUCACAUGUCAUAGAUUUAUAAUUCCACGUGUAGCAGCUAAGUACUUAGUCUGUUUUAGAAGAAAAAGGUUUCUUCAGGCGUUCUUCGAUUUUAGCCGCAUGGGAUUUUGCCUUCUGCAGGCUCGUACAAUAUUUGUAAUACAAACAAAAAAUCGGAAGCUGCUUAAGAGGUUCAACGUCAAUUCCAUGGGCGCUCAAAACUUAUAGGCAACUGAUAAGUACAAACUGUAAAUAGUUUGUUCAAAUUGAUAUAUAAACUUGUAAUCGGAGCUAGUCUUAAAAAGGUAAAAGAUCCCUAAACGUCAGCCAAAAACUAUUGAAUUUGAAUGCAUGCAUAUCCUUCUUCAGGAAAGAUGCAUAAGUUGGCUUGUUCACAAAUCAGGACAAGAUACCAACUAAAUUAACUAAUUAAGUUUUGCUUUCUGUACACUUCAUAUUUGGUCAAAAUACUUCUUUCUGUUCUUACUUUCUGUGGGUUGUACUAAAUAAAAAAAAGGGGAAAUUUUAAAAUAUGUCUAAUUUUAUAGGCUUACUUUUAAAAUAGGUCCAAUUUUUAGUUAUUUUGGACCCAUAUCAAAAGACCCCUAAUAAAAAAUCUAACAGCCAAAGAAAAGAAGAAAGUUCAAAAUAUCCAUGUAAAUCUUCAACACCAUAUGAAUUUUCUAGGGUUUUUUCUUUUGUCAGGUGGGGAAACGUAACUUUGAUUUCUGAACUUAACCAUCACACAGUAUAGUAUCAUGGCCAGUAGUUAUUCUGUAAUUUCAUCUGCAUUUCAGCUUAAUUAAAGUUAUGAACCUAAACUAAUGGCUUGAUUGGAUUCAAGAAAAGGAAACAAGAGAAAAAAAACAACACACUACUAGGAAUAACAUCUUGGGCGACGAAGGGGAAACUGUCGUGCAAAGGGAAAAACCGUUGCCGGAAACAUUGGGUGGCGAAGACUCUGUCGCGCAAAGCUUGUGACGCCAGGCAUUGCGCGAUGGAGGAAAUUCCAUCGUCGUGCGAAAUGCAAAUUGCGCGACGGAAGUCGUGGUCGUUGCGCAUACUAAGUGACGAAACUGGGUUUCGACCCCUAAACUCUUGUGCGACGAUGACAUGGGUUCGACCCUCAAAGUACAAACUUUUAUGUGACGGAUACAGAGGCCGUCGCAGUGAAAUUUUAAAAUUAAUUUUAAAAUUAAUUUUUUAAAUAAUCUAUUAUUAAUUUUAUUAUUUAUUUGUAAAUUAGUUUUAUAAAUAAUUAAUUUUUUUUUCGUAUAUGUAAAAGUGAAUUUAAUGAAAAUAAAAAUAGAAAAUGUAAAGAAGAAUAUUGAAUUGAAAAAUUAUUGUAAAUGUACAUACAAUGGAAAAAAGUAUUUUUAAAUUCUAAAACAAUUUAAAACAAAACUAAAAAAAGAAGUCCUCGACGUCACAAUCGAUGGCUGGUGGUGUUGUUGUUGUGUCAGGGGGCUGGGAGGAUGUAGCUAUUAUGGUGGGGGGUUGGGAGGUCGUUUUUGCAGGUAGUUUAAUGUCGAGGUAUUGAAUGCCAGAGAUCUGAAAUGCACGACGUAUUUGGUUUAUGAAAUUAUUUUGGGCCGCAAUCUAAGACUGUUGGGCUGCAAUCUGCUCCUUCAAGCCCGCCACUUCAUAUGUCAGCGUAUCGACCCAUUCAGUUCUCUGCUUGGAGGAUGAGGCAGACGGGUCCUAAGGGCAGGCUUUCCCAAGCCCCCAGUGAACAUUCCCACGCCGACGACUGAGGGUCUGAUCAAGUGUGCCGAUCAUGAUCUAAAACCCAGCAUUCUCAGGGGGAAACACCUCCUCGAUCGAGGUUUCUAGGGGACGCUGGGAAGCCACCUCCUUCAGAACUGUUUGGCCCUUCUCCACCAUGGUGGACUAGAAAAAUGAAAAAAAAACAAAUUAAUUUGAAUAUAAAUGUAAUUAAUAUUAAUACAAAUUGAAUAUUAUAAAUGUGAAAGAACUUACAUGAAACUGCUCCGUCAGCUCAUCCUCGGGCCUAAUGUACACCUGCUUGAACAUGUCAAUUUUAGGAAACUUUGACCCCCCCUGAAUUUUUUUAAAAAGUGUUAAUAUAGAUUACUAAUUGUGUAAAGAGUAAAAAGAUUGAAAAUUUAAAAUAAAUAUACAAUUACCUUAUGUCGCUCUUCCAACCUAUAAGAGAAACGUCUUGACCCGGAUCGGUGAAGAAGUUUCUUCUUCGACUGAUUGAUCGAGUUUGCCUUCACUUUUUUUCUGUUGAAUUAAAAAUGCAUAUUAAUUUAGAUAUUUAUAACAAAUGAAUGAAAAAAAGGAAAUGUUUAUUUUAAAUUGUAAAUUUUUUUAUUAAUAUAUUAUUGAAAUAUAAAUUACACGUACCAAGUAUUUCUCGUCUUGAAAAUGGUCGCAGAGCCACUCCCAUUCAUCUCGACGGUCCAACAACUCCAUAGGGCACCCAACUUUUAAAGCGACAUCCGGACCGUUAUAUAGCUCAUAAUGCUUGUGGAGGUCGCUCUUCCAUUGAGUGAACCUACUGGACCAAAGGUCAUUGAUGUACUCCAUUUGGUUGGAAUCGAAGUUGGAAAGCUCAUAGUGAUGCUGCAAAACUCAAUUAAUAAAUAGUAGUUAAAAUUUAUAAUCUUUGUAUACUUUAAUAAAAAUGUAGUAUUUGAGGUUGAAAAUACUUGCUAAUAAUUCAUAAAGCACGGCGUCCUUGGUUUCUUGUGGCACAACUCUCCAUGACUCCCACCUGAGGGGGCAAUGGCUCCUGAUAACGCAGCCAACAUUGGUGGCCAACGCACUGUGCUACUUGUUUGUUGCAGCCGCAUUAUAUUGAGGAUCCCACGGAAUGGUGAUCUUCUAGGUAGUGGUGCGAGUGGUCUGAGAAGUCUUUUGUAGUCUGCAAGGGCCCCUGGGUUUUUUUUUUACCUGCCAAAUAAACAAAGUAAACAUUAGACGAUUUCUAUUUUCUACCAAAAAUUCAGCAGAACCUCCACUAAAACUAUAACAUUUCCUAAAACCUGCACAAAAUAUAAUAACAUAAACAACACAUCCACCCAACAAUCCAAACAAUUUUUACUAACUGGGGACGUUAAAACAAAAUUUACAACUUGUUGAUAUGACUUCUCAGUGCUACUUAACAAUCAUUAAUAUAGGUCAAAAUCAUAAUUGAAAAUAACUAGCUAGCAUGCAUGCAUGUUAUUGUUUGCAUAAAUUAAAAGAUUGGUUCAAUUUGCAUCAAAUAUUUUUAACGUUGCUGCUCAAUUAUUAGAGAGGAUAAGAUUCCUUAAUUAUAAUAUGGUUCACAUUUUAAUUACACAAGAUAAGUUCACAUUCUAUACUUGAAGGGAAAUAGUGGGAUUUUGAAUAUCCACCUUUUAAGUGGAAGUUUGAUUAUCUGCAACUAAUAAUGCAGUAAAUUUGCACUUUAUGCCUCUAGUUGCUAAGAGCAAAAUUGUUGCACCCCAAAACUCGAGGUGUGAGAUUAAGAGAAAUAAAUAGAAUAACAAGGUUGUUUAAGGGUGUAAAACAAAUAUUAGCUUAAGAUUAUGUCAAUGAAGAUUUAAACUCAACAAUUACAUUACACCAAACUACAAAGGUAACUCAAAGAAAUAAAGUUAAAAACUUAUUGUGGUAAUAAAAACUGCAGAAAUGACCUGUUUGUGAUUAAAUAUGUUUAUGAGACCUGUGGCAUUCGGUCAGGGCUUGAUGCUGUUAAUUUAAUCGCUCGUGUUUAUGAGCUUAUGGACAUCUAUAUACACAGGUCUGAUCCCACAGAAAACGAUAGUGUAGAGGGGUUUAAAUAUGUUUGCAUAUAAGCUAUCUACACUAAUAUACACCAGAAGAGGAGAAGAAGGCGAGAAGGAGGGAGGGAGGUAGCAAGCUUACCUGUCUGGGACGCCUCUCCAUAGACAAAGGAAGUGUCACCAGACGGUUGAGCCUCCUUAGAAGUCCAGGGUCGUCGAUGAGUCCAUCGGGCGCUUAGGACAGGGUGAGUCACCAAAGAAGUCGAUGACACAGCAACCAUAGACACCGUUGGCCCCAAUGGCAUGACCGGAGGGACACCUGUCGUGUCCAAAUCAGGUGUGGAGGUGCUAGCAACAUUACCUCCUUGAGAAGGUGUCUCACUGCCCUUAUUAGCUGCUCGCCAGUUUGAAAUUAAGUUCGACAUCUACAAAAACAAUCAUGAAUCUAUUUAGAUAAUUAAAUUAUUAUAUGCAUUUCAUUUCACAUACAUAAGGUGAAUGAAAACAACAUAAGAAAACCCAAAAAACCACAAACCAUGAUUUAUUCAACGCUUGAAGCCACUAAUUAUAAGUUAUACAAUCUUUUAAGCACACAAACAUCAUGGUAGAUGCUUUAUGUAUCCAAAGAGUGAUAGAAGCUCCAUUUUAUUUUUUGACUUGUACAAGUACAAAAGCAUUUCACAUAAUAGGUUCCAAUAUGAAGGCUUACUUUGUAAUGCAUGUCACAUAUCAUAAAAAAAAUAAAGCAAAAAACUUAUGCAUGAAAGGGAUGUCAUUUCGCAAUCAGCCUAUAUACAAAUGGAGAAUCAAAUAUAGAAUUAUCUAAAGGUUCUUCUAUUCUUGAUUCAGAGAAAAGUUUGCUUGCACUCCUCAAAAGUUGCUUAGAUGACUGAAUAUAGAAAUGGCCCCUGUUAAGGAUUGUUUCAUAGACCUUGCUUUAUUUCCCCAAGGCCAAAAAAUCCCCAUUGCUACCCUAAAUCCCUAAAUCCCAACCCAAUUUUAUGUAUCCUUUUUCUUGCAUUCAAGAUGGUCCUUUGACAUACUUGAAUGUGACGCUAUUUGAGAAUUGCUCUCCUAAGAAACUGAGAGGCUUGUACAUGGACAAUGAUUACAGAAAGCAAUGGGACAAGAUGUUGAUUCAGCAUGAGCAGCUAUAGAUGGACAAAAAACAAUGGCGUUGAAGCUGGUUGGACAAUACAAAAGUUUCCACUAUUGACAGCUACAGAAUAUGUAUUAGCUUGGAGAUUGUGGGAGGGGGAAGAUAAAACCUUUUAUUGUUUUAUCAAGGUAACUACUACCUAAAAAUUAUUCAUACGUAACUUACAUCUAGGCAAUUUUGACAGGUCCUUGCUAAAUAUGACUGGAAAAUGACAAACAGACAGUGACAUUGUGAGGAAGUGAGUGAGAGCUUUGUUCAUGUGAGGAAGACAAUGACAAACAGACAGUGACAAUGUCAUUGUGAGGAAGACAGUGACAAACAAACCAGCUAAUAUAAUGCAAUUGGGAAUGUCCUAAUCAUACUUUAGCACUUCACUUUUUUCUCAGCGUAUCAUUCAUGUUUUUCUACACUGUGCAGUAUCACUAUAAGAUUAGUAUCUAAUAUCAUUGAUCAUGCAACUAAUUUUUAUUUUGUAUAUGUAUAUGUUAAGCAAUACUUAUACACACACACACACAUACACACACACACACACACACACACACACACACACACACACACACACACACACACACACACACACACACACACAUAUAUAUGUAUAUGUUAAGCAAUACUUACACACACACACACACACAUAUAUAUGUAUAUGUUAAGCAAUACUUACACACACACACAUAUACAUAUAUGUAUAUGUUAAGCAGUACUUACACACAUGCACACACAAACAUACACACACAUGUGACAACUCAUCCCUAAUUUUAAGUUUUAUAAAUUUUAAAAUAAUGAUUUUAUGAAAAUGCCCCUAGAGGCAAAGAUUUUGACUUUUGUUGACCAUCGGUUAGAGAGACGUAAGACUUAUUCUUUUAGAGUAUCCUCAUAGUAUUCAUCACUACGAGUGCAUGGUCGAAAGCCAUUCGCGAGUCCGGAUUACAACAGUAUAGUUACGGAUAUUUGAAAUUGGUUAUCUAAAGUUUAGUUAAAAAUAAAUUGAACUCCCACCUUGUGGGAAAGAAACCAAUCAACUAUUUUAUUUAAGUGGCCAAUCAGAUAUGUUAGAAAGGGACCAAUAAAAAAUUAGAGAGAGGGAUUAGCCAAUCAGGAAGGAGAGAGAAGAACCUCAUCCCCUUCUCUUUCAACCUGUGCACACCACAAACCCAGUUUCGACCCGGCCAAAUUUCGGCCAAUCUCCACCAUUUUUCAUGCUAUUUGCAUCCAUCCUCCACCUACAAUUUCUUCCUCAACCUCUCCUCUUCCAUCUCCACCAAAAAUCAAGGGUUUUUAAGGCCUAAACUGUGAAGAACUCCACAGGAGCACCGGAGGUGCUCGACGGCGAUUCUGCCAUUCUGGCGAGUUCCACCAUCCACCACCACCCUUAACCAACUUCCCUUGGACCUAAGAACAAACCAGUGAUAGAGGCGUUGGAACACCAGAGAAGUCGAAUCGACGAACAUCCAUUCUAGGGUUUCUGGCGGAUUCAUGGCGAUUGGAGGCUUUUUUCUAGCCAAAUUGGACUUGACCACAUGUAUAAAACUUUCUCUACUCAUUGAGAUCUUCAUUUUUGUGAAAUUUGAUAAUUUUUAAAAAUAGUUGAUUUUUCUGGCAAGUCGGGGCGGCUGAUCGCCGUGUGCGGCGGCGUGUGGGUCGAGACCCCACCUGCCCAUCCUAGGCUAAUUUGGAUGCCUUGAUUCCAUAUGUGAAGUCCGAUUAACGAAAUUCCAUUGUUUGGGUACAAGUUCGUUAAGGUUUGCCAUUUGGUCAUUAUUUGAAUCGAUGAUCCAACCGUUGGAUCGUAACCAAACUUUAGUAGGUUAUUAUUCAUAAUAUUUGAGGACCUUGAAAACUUAUGGAUCAGGAAUUCGACGUAUAGAUCUUCCCAAAUUGGAUUUGUAAGUUCGUAAAAUAAAAUGUUCACCGCCACUUGAAUUUGUAAUUGGCGGAGAUCCAACCGUUGGAUCGUAAUGAAACUUUAGUAUGAUGUUUUAGAAGCAUAAUGUGAAUCUUUCGGAUUGGAAAUCCAAGGUGCGGAUCUUCCGAAUCGAGUUACGUAGGGUUGUGGACCCUUACGUCGACCUUUAACCGACGGUUGACUUUUGGUCUAUGGGUUUCAAAUUAUUUUAGAACGUCCUUGGGGAUGUGUUUUAUGUAAGGUACGUGUCCUAUCAAAAAGAAUUCUGAGAAGUGAUUUGAUAAUUUGUUCUAGGCGUCGAUCAUUCAAGACGCCUCGAUAUUCAUGCUAGGGAGUUGUAGCACUGACUCCAGGUGAGUGGGUCUUUUCCUUUUUAUAGUGUAUAUAUAUAUAUAUAUAUAUAUAUAUAUAUAUAUAUAUAUAUGAUUGAUAGUUUCCACAAAUGCUUUUGAAUUGAUUCAUGCACUUCAUGCCAUGAUUAAAUUAUGUUAUGAGAAAUGUUGCACUGUUGUGAAAUACCAAGAUGAUUAUACGGGAUGCGCAUGUAAGUUUAUUAUGUUGAUGGGAAUUAUUGCAUCAUUGUGGCAUGCUUAUACUCAUAUAGUUUGUUUAUCAAUGCUACACCCCGGUGUCAGUGCUCCAGCCCCGGGCCAGUGCUAGCCUUCAUGUGCUUGUUCACCUCCCGCACCGGACGCUCGCCUUGGAUCCAAGUAGGUGUUAGCCUAUCGUACAGACUGCAUUAGACAGUUCUGACUCGUAGGUGACCCACGCAUAGCGCCAGCUUCACGUGAUCGUAGCACUAGAGCAUUCAUUGUUACACCUAGCAUGUCAUACAUGUCACAUUAAGUGACUCCGACUCGUGUGUUAGCAUAGUCUAAUGAGCGAUAGGUGCAGUUGUACAUGUCACAUUAGGUGACUCCAAUUGACAUGCUAGUAUAGAUUACUGAGCACAUGAUCAUAUCUAAAUUACUGUUAAGCUAUUAUGAUGUGGCAUAUUUCUGGACUUACAGUUAGCAUGCAUUUGAUUUUCAUACUUAUACUUAGUAUGAUAUUUUGGAAACUAUACAUGUUUUACGGCGAGGGGUUAUAACGUUUUCAAAAAGGUUUUUAUAAAACUUUAUUUUCAGGCCCACUCACCCUUGUUUUUUGCCCCUCCAGGUUCUAGUAGCAGAGUUUUCGUAUCGACGAGGAUUAUUGGCAAAUCUUGGUGUAGAAGAUUACCAUCGAUGAUAUAAUUCUCACCCUAUUUUACUGUACUGUACUUAUGCUCUAUCAUCAUGUGGGAAUUGGGUUCAUUCUCGCUCACCAGCGCACUCUUAUAUUUAGGCACUUUUAAGUUUAAAUUUAUUCACAUUUUCCACAUCACUAUACUUUGUGGCUUCGUCACCUUCCAAGUGUCGGCCAACACAACUCGAUUCAAAAACCUAAUGGACAUACCGGGUUAGGAUGUGUCAAUUUUAUAUCAGAGCAUAAGUUGGGCAGUAUUGCAUUCAUCACAGUGUGAUGUAAGCAUUUUAGGUUCUUGAGCCUAAUUUUCGAAUCUUGCCACCUUGUCGAAUCACGAAAAAUGUGUUAGCUUUUCCUAAGUUUUGGGCAGUUUUGUUGACAUUUUAGAAGAUCACUUUGGCAAACACUUUUAGACUUAAAGUGAAGAACUUCCACGCCAAGGAAAGAUGUAGAUUUGAGACAAGUUGAUGGCCCUAAAGCAAGGCUAAUAUAUCGUGUUAAUGCACAAAAUCAGCGAGGACUUUGGUACAACAGAAAUUGUUAUGUUUGUGACCUUCGCUAGAUUGCUCCGGUCACUAAUGUGGAUAAGUAUGUAAAUGGAUAGAAACAGGGAAGUAAACACAAGAUGUACGUGGUUCACCCAGAUUGGCUAUGUCCACGAAGUAGAGGAGUUCUCAUUAAUUGUGAAGGGUUUACACACAAGUACAUAGAUUCAAGCUCUCCUUUAGUGAGUACUAGUAAAUGAUUUAAUACAAAUGACAUUAGGAAAUAUUGUGGAAGAAUGAUCUUUUUCUAUAGAAGAGAGUUUUUAGCUUUGUUUUGACAUUGACAUGUGUCGUGUUGUGAUUGGCUUCUGAUAUUGACAUGUGUCAUGUUAUGAUUGGCUUCUUAUGUCGACAUGUGUCGCGCAAUGAUUUGCCUCCUGGUUGAAGGGAAACUCUUCUGGGUCCUUGACGGUAUAACGUUGACCGAUGCUCAGUAGUUUCGGGAUUGGUCAAGUAUGGUACAGACAGUGCUCCCCUAAGUUCCCGAGUGAGGGAAGCUCCUCGGUUGGGGACUUGCAAGAUCCAAGCCGCUGAGUAAUCACGAAACUUAUAAGUACCGAAGAAGUGUGGUAUCGUUUUCACUUGCCUUAUCUGUCUCAUAAGUAGAUGUGUGUCAUCUUCUCUGGAAGCACUUUUCCUCCAUCCAGGGAUGGUAUCUUUAACCGGUGGAGAUGCACAAGGUAAUGUAUCAAUUUCACUUGAAGCUUACUUGUAGUUUCAGGCUUGGUCAAGCACGAUACAAACCAUGUAGUAGGAGUCCCCCAAGUCGUCGAGCUAGGAGAUCUGCCGAAAGAGGUAAUAGACAAGGUAAGCAAUCAGAGCUCCCAACAAUCAGUCCUAGAUUAGAAGUUUGAUUUCGAGUUCCGGCUGAUUGUUCUCAUUCUCCAUAUCUUGCAGGUAGCAGGAAGGAUAAAGAGAAGAAAAAUGAGAAGAGAUGAUAUGAGAUACUUUUGUUUUUGAAGAAGUAACUUUCCACAUGCUUAUUCUUGAACUGGGCUGGAGGGUUUUUUGGUUUCCUCCAAAGUAUAAGGCCGACUCAAGAAUUUGAGUGUCAAAACAAGCCUAUAAAAUCAAGAGUGCGUUCGACCUUGAUAAUAUGGGAUACUUUUGCUGUUGACAAAGUAAUAGAUGAAUCAGCACGUGUUCUGUUGCGCUUGUCUCCACAUGCUUCUUUGUAUCUUUCUCACUUGCCCUCUCUGUUCCUCAGACAGAUAUGGUAUCUUUUCUGGAAGCAUAAGAUAUUGAAGAUGAGUACUCGAGAGCAAUGUCAGGUAAGUAAUCAGGCAAGGAGUUCCAAGCAGUCAGUUCCUAACUGGAAGCUUGAUUCCAAGUGCUGACUGAUUGCUUUAUUUCUCCUUAUCUUGCAGGUAAAAACAAGGCCAAAGGAAAAGACAGGGAAAAAGCAUGAUAUGGGAUACUCUUGCUUUUAACCCUGAUGAUAUAAGAUACUCUUACUCUGAUAUGGCUUGUCUGCAGAGGUAUUAUCGAGGGGAAAAGAAGCUGAGUAUUUUGAGAGACUCUGCUGAGAAUGCCCUCUUGGAUGUGAAGAAAAGUUGAGCAUUUUUUUUAUUUGCAGGUCUGCCUGGCUGUGGAGGAUGAAGGUCGACAUAUAUAGGAAUUAUCCCAACAGCGAGUGGUAACACUGUUCCUUUACCCUUCUCGGUCAUAGUAAUAUAGUGGGAGCUGCAAGAUUCACGUGUUUUAACUUUGUCAGAGCACUUUGAAAAAGUGGUUUGUGGUAUCUGGAAAGCUGAUGUUGCAUGUGAAGAUUGCAGACAAGCUUUAUCCAAGGAAAUUUGGCUCUUGAAGUUUGGAGAACAAUGCCUCUUUGGUUUUUGAACAAGCAUCCUGUCGGGGAUCUGGCUCUUGAGAUUCGGAGAACGGUGCCUCUUCAAUUUUUGAGAAAGCAAUCCUGUUGAGAGUCCAGCAUUUGAGAUUCAGAGAGCGGUGCCUCUUCAAUUUUUGAGAAAGUAAUCCUGUUGGAAGUCUGGCUAUCCAGAUUCGGAGAAUGGUGUCUCUUCGAUUUUUGAGCAAGCAAUCUUGUUGGGAGUGUUUUCUCAAAUGUGAGUAAAGGUUGGGCAUAUUUGCCAGUCUGCCUUGCCACGGAGCACAUAGGUGAACACACAUAGGGACUUUCCAGUUAUCAAGCAGUGGUGCUGUUCCUCUACCCUUGUGGGUAAUAGUAGGGUAGCUGAACCUUUAAAAUUUAUGUGUCUAAACUUUGUCAAAGAUCUUUGGCAAAGUUAUCUGUGGUACCCGAUGAGCUGAUGUUGCGUGUGGGGAUUGUCGACAUAUUUUACUCAGGAAAAUCUACUUCUCGAAAUCCGGAGAGUGGUGCAUCUUCGAUUUUUGAACAAACGGCCCUGCUGCCCUUCCUUUUAUAGGGGCACCAAUUGUGUGCAAGAAGUACGUUCAGAGAGUUAUUGCUUGUAGGAAUUUUCCCUUAUUUUCGUACUUCAGAGAUUUAUUGGACCUUAUUUCUCCUUCAUCAUUUCUGAAAAUGUCUGGCCCAUCAGACCGUCGUUUUGACUUGAACUUUGGUGAAGAGGCAGCCAUGCCUCCUUAGGACAACAUAUAUCACCUAUCAUUCUCUUAUCCCCUACUGGUCCUCUUACCGUUGGGGAUUCUAUGAUGAAGAAUGAUAUGACCGCUGCGGUGGUGGCCAGGAACCUUCUCACUCCCAAAGAUAACAUACUACUUUCCAAACGGUCUGAUGAGUUGGCUGUUAAGGAUUCUUUGGCUCUCAAUGUUCAGUGUGCAGGUUCCGUGUCUAAUAUGGCCCAACGUUUAUUUGCUCGAACCCGCCAAGUUGAAUCAUUGGCGGUUGAAGUGAUAAGUCUCAAACAGGAGAUUAGAUGGCUCAAGCAUGAGAAUAAACAGUUGAACAGGCUCGCACAUACUAUGCUACAAACAUGAAGAUGAAGUUUAACCAGAUGCAGGAAUCUGAUGGUCAGAUUUUACUUGAUAAUCAGAGGUUUGUGGGUUUGCUCCAAAGGCAUUUAUUACCUUCGUCUUCUAGGGCUGUACUGCGUAAUGAAGCUCCGAAUGAUCAACCUCCGAUGCCUCUUCCUUCUGGGGUUCUGUCCAGUACUAAGGCUCCAAAUGUUCACCCCCCGGUGCCUUCUCUUUCUAGGGCUCUGCCGACUGCUGAGACUUCUCCUGAGCAACCAUUGUGAAAGCUCCCUCUUGUUUGUUUAUUUUGACUCAUGUAUAUGUACAUAUUUGUAACUUAUCGGAGAUACCAAUAAACAAGCUUUACUUUAUUUCAACGUAUUGUGUUAAAUACACCAAAGCCUUCUUCACUAAGUUCUUUGAAUUUUUUCUUUUGUUGAAGCUUGUAUGUUGAAGCUUUGUGAGUGAAUGUAUGUUGAGGUAGUGCUCCCUUAAUUUCCCGAGUGAGGAAAACUUCUCGGUUAGAGACUUGAAAAAUCCAAGUCACUGAGUGGUCGUGAGACUUCCGAGUAUCAAAGUGCAGUAGCAUAUGGUAGGAGUCCCCCAAGUCUCCGGUUGAGGGAGUUGACGAAUGAGGCAUUUCCUUUCUAAGUGGUAUCCCAAAACUCCUCAUUCAUAUAUAUUUGUUAUGAAAGUUGUUAGGCUCAAUGAAGAGGAGGCCUAGGCAAUUUUUUUUUUUUUUAAAUUUAAAAUUUCCAAAUUUUCCCAAUUUUCCGAAUUUUCGAAUUUCCGAAAAAAAAAAUUAUAUAUAUAUAUUUUAAGCUUUGUAGGUGAAACUUUGGUGUUGAAGCUUUGUAAGUGAAACUUUGAGGUUGAAGCUUUGUUGGGUACCAUGAAUUGAUUUUGCUUCACACUAUCUUGAUCAAGAGUGUUUGAAGCUUUUGUGUUAAAGCUUUGUAGGGUGAAGCUUUUGUGGGUGAAGCUUUUGUGUUGAAACUUUUGUAGGUGAAGCUUUUGUAGGUGAAGCUUUGGAGUUGAAGCUUUUGUUGGGUACCAUGAAUUGAUUUUGCUUCACACUAUCUUGAUCAAGAUAAUGUGAAGCUUUUGAGAAUUUGUAGUUGCCCUCCAUUUGUUGAAGCUUUUGUGGUGAAGCUUUGUUGGGUACCAUGAAUUGAUUUUGCUUCACACUAUAUUGAUCAAGAUAGUGUGAAGCUUUUGAGAAUUUGUAGUUGUCCUCCAUUGAUGAAGCUUUGUUGAAUUUCCCAAUUUCCUUUUAUUUUUUUUUGGGAAACAAGAAAUUUGAAAAUGUGGGAGAGACAAAAUAUUCAAAUUUUGCUUCCACAUUGUUGAGCAAGAGAUUGUGAUGCAUGCCAGACCUUGUAGUAGUCGAAGGUUUGGAUGAACCAUAUAAAUUGAAUUUGCUUGGAAUAGUCUUGAUCAAGAGUGUGUGAAGCUUUCUACGAGUUGUAAUAGCCUUUCAUUGAUGAAGCUUUUAUUGGCACCAUAAAUUGGUUUUGCUUCACACUGUCUUGAUCAAGAGUGCGUGAAGCUUUUGAGAAUUGUGGUUGCCCUUCAUUGAUGAAGCUCUUGUUGGCACCAUAAAUUAGUUUUGCUUCACACUGUCUUGUUGGCGCCAUAAAUUGGUUUUGCUUCAUACUGUCUUGAUCAAUAGUGUGUGAAGCUUUUGAGAAUUGUGGUUAAACUCCUUUGAUGAAGCUGUUGUUGGCACCAUAAAUUAGUUUUGCUUCACACUGUCUUGAUCAAGAACGUGUGAAGCUUUCUACGAGUUGUAGUGUUUGCAUUGUUACAGAGGAGAAAUGUCUGAAGCAGAUGCAAGAGGGCUGAAUAUCUUGAUCUUCGUAUUGCAUGCACUGAAGUUGUUGUUGGAUUGCAAUAAGACUUUGUUGGUGACUAUAACUCUUGUUAGGCAUAAGUGCUCCCCUAGUUGAGUUGUCAAGCUAGAGGGUUUUUUGAUUAUUUGUGAAUGCUAGGAGUUCACAUGUACAAGUUGUACCACUCGUCUUCUGGUAGGUGGAAUGAAUGGUGAGUUGCUUUCAUCACUUGGUUGGUGGCAUGAAUGGCAAGUUGCCAAAUGAUAUUAGAGUAUGGGUUAUACAUUUCAUCACCUGGUUGGUGACAUGAAGGAGAGUACGGGUUGUACAUUUCAUCACCUGGUUGGUGGCAUGAACAUGAGUUCCUUCUUCACAUUUCAUCACCUGGUUGGUGAGAAUAAGGGCAAGGUGUCGAGGUACAUUGUAGCAAGUGUCGAAUAACAUAAAGUAUGUUGAACCUUUUCAAAGUACAGUUGACUUAUGUAUGAAUGUGUUGGAAUGUAUGAUUGAACGAAUAUAAUGUGAAGCUGUUUGUUUAUUAGUAUAGUCUUGUUGACAUAUACUUAGACUUUGUUUUAUGUUGGAAGCAUUCAUGUUGAAGCUUUAAACCCGAGUGUUUCAUUGCUAGGAAUGUAAGAGGAUUAAGACCGAGUUGUCUAAAUCACCUAUUUAUUGAAUUUAUGCCAAAUAGUCUUCGUUACAUAGGAUGUCGAACGGCUGAAGCUUAACACUUGUACAAUGUGAGUUUAUUUGUAAUAGUACUUCAAGUGAUCAGCGUUCCAUAGGUAGCCAAGGGUCUUGCCAUCAGAGCUUCUAAGCUUGUAGGAGCCAAGGCGAUUGAUGCCAACAACUUCAAACAGUCCAUCUCUGUUUGGAAUAAGUGUUCCUCUACUCGGGACUUUGUCGUAGAGUAAUAUUUUCUUCAAUACCAGUCCCCUACUUUGAAAGAACGAGGUUUGACCCUUGAGUCAUAGUAGUUGGCUUGUAGGCGACAUUCUUCAAGUGAGCCUGGUUUCUGUGUUCCUCAACUAGAUCUAAGUUGAGGGUAAGUUGUUUUUCAUUUUUGCUUUGCACGUAGUUUUAGACUCGAAACGUUGCUUGCUCAAGCUCAACUGGGACAACUACCUCUAUACUAAAGCCAAGUGAGAAUGGGGUUUCUCCUGUUGACGUCCGAUACGAAGUACGGUAUGACUAAAGAACUUGGGGUACAAAUUCUGGCCAACAACCUUUAGCCUUGUCCAAGCUAGUUUUCAAAGUUCGCUUGAUUAUUUUGUUGAUGGCUUCAACUUGUCCAUUAGACUGGGGAUGAGCUGGGGAGGCAAAAUAUAAGUUAAUUUUGAACUUGGAGCAGAACAUCCUGAACUUAUUGUUGUCGAACUGUCACUCGUUUUCAGUGACUAUCGCAUUGGGAAUGUCGAAUCUGCAAAGGAUGUUCUUCCAUACGAAGUCUUCUAUUUUUUGCCUCUGUAAUGGUAGCCAAAGGUUCUAGUUCGGUCCACUUUGUGAAGUAGUUAACUGUAACGAUUGCAUAGCGGACCUUACCCUUCCCUGCAGGCGUUGGGCCGAUCAAAUCAAGUCCCCAUUGGGUGAAGGGCCAAGGCCUGAUCAUAGAAGUGAGUGGCUCGGGAGGGGAGUAAGGUAUAGUUACGUAGCAUUGACAUUUAUCACAUGAGCGGGAUAUUCUGAUAGCAUCUUGGUGGAGUAUUGGCCAGUAAUAUCCUUGGUGAAAAGCCUUGUAUGCUAGGGAUCGAGAUCCACCAUGAUUUCCGCAGACUCCUUCAUGUAUUUUCCAAAUGACAGUUUUAGCCUCUGCGGGCGUAAGGCAUCUUAGGUAUGGUAGGUUAAAACCCCGCUUGUAGAGUUGAUCAGUAAUGAUCAAGUAACGGGUAGCCUUGUAUCGAAUCUGCUUAGCUUGCACUUUUUCAUUGGGAAGGGUGUCAUGAGCAAGGAAUCUAUAAAUCGGGGUAAUCCAACUAUCCCUCUGUUGUAAGUUGCACACUUCCGCAGCCAUGGUGCUUGGUGUUGCCAACAAAUUGACCUGAAUUUUUCUCCCAAUCUUGUCUUUCACCUCUAAGGCGAGGCGAGCCAAAGCAUUUGCAUGAUUGUUUGCCGCUCGAGGAAUUUAGGUGAUCUGGUAGUGGAAGUGCUGGAGCAACAAUUGUGUUUGUGCCAGAUAUGCUGCCAUAGAGCUAUCCUUAGCGUCAAAGUUGUUAGUGACCUAGUUAACCACCAAUUGGGAGUCACUGAAGAUAUCAAUUCGUUUAACCCCAAGGUGUUUGGCCAAACGUAAGCCUGCUAUAAAGGCUUUAUAUUUGACCUCAUUGUUCGACACCUUGAAUUUGAAACGAAGAGCAUACUCCAUUGCCACUUUGUCAGGGGUCGUAAGGACUAGUCCUACUCUACAACCUUGUUGGUUGGACGAGCCAUCAACAUAUAGACUCCAUGCUGGGGUUGUUGGUUCUAUUUUCUGAGGGUAAUGAAACUACUUCCUUAGGCAUAAAAACAAUGUCAACAGGAUAUGUGAAGUCAGCGAUGAAGUCUGCCACUGUUUUAGCCCUUUUCAGCUAGCUUUGGUUGGUAGAAGAUGUCAAACUCACCCAAUGUUAUCGCUCAUUUGAUCAUUCACCCCGAAGCGUUAGGACUUUGGAGUAUCUGUUGAAGAUAAUGAUUGAUAAGCACGAUAAUGGAGUGUGCUUGGAAGUAAGGGCGAAGUUUUUGAGCUGACAUAACCAAUGAUAGAGCCAAUUUCUCAAUGUUGGAGUAUCAUGUCUCCGCAUCUUGUAAGGCCUUGCUAGAGUAAUAGACAAGUCGUUCGACAUUACCAUCAUUUCGAAUGAGAACAGAACUUACUGCUGAAGCCGAUACUGACAGAUAGAUAAUAAGAGUGUCACCAACCUCUGGUUUGGAGAGUAGAGGGGCUUUACUCAUGUAGUCUUUGAGGUUCUUGAAUGCAUCGGCACAUUCAUCAGUCCAUGUAUUGUACUUCUUACUUCCUUUAAGUGCUUUGAAGAAAUGAGCACAUUUGUCUGUGGCCUUAGAGACGAACCUAGUUAAGGCUGCCACCUUGCUAGUAAGGCUUUGGAUGUAUUUUGAAGUUACCGGUUCCUUCAUGUCGAGGAUUGCUUUGAUCUUCUCGGGAUUAGCCUUAAUGCCUCGUUGGCUUAUCAUGAAGCCUAAAAAUUUGCCAGAGCCUACGCCGAAGGCACAUUUGUUGGGGUUCAACCUCAUUCGAUACCUCUUUAUAAUGGUGAAAGUUUUAGAUAGGUUGGUGAUGUGUUGGUCAGCAUGUUUGCUUUUGANNNNNNNNNNNNNNNNNNNNNNNNNNNNNNNNNNNNNNNNNNNNNNNNNNNNNNNNNNNNNNNNNNNNNNNNNNNNNNNNNNNNNNNNNNNNNNNNNNNNNNNNNNNNNNNNNNNNNNNNNNNNNNNNNNNNNNNNNNNNNNNNNNNNNNNNNNNNNNNNNNNNNNNNNNNNNNNNNNNNNNNNNNNNNNNNNNNNNNNNNNNNNNNNNNNNNNNNNNNNNNNNNNNNNNNNNNNNNNNNNNNNNNNNNNNNNNNNNNNNNNNNNNNNNNNNNNNNNNNNNNNNNNNNNNNNNNNNNNNNNNNNNNNNNNNNNNNNNNNNNNNNNNNNNNNNNNNNNNNNNNNNNNNNNNNNNNNNNNNNNNNNNNNNNNNNNNNNNNNNNNNNNNNNNNNNNNNNNNNNNNNNNNNNNNNNNNNNNNNNNNNNNNNNNNNNNNNNNNNNNNNNNNNNNNNNNNNNNNNNNNNNNNNNNNNNNNNNNNNNNNNNNNNNNNNNNNNNNNNNCCACCCUUAACCAACUUCCCUUGGACCUAAGAACAAACCAGUGAUAGAGGCGUUGGAACACCAGAGAAGUCGAAUCGACGAACAUCCAUUCUAGGGUUUCUGGCGGAUUCAUGGCGAUUGGAGGCUUUUUUCUAGCCAAAUUGGACUUGACCACAUGUAUAAAACUUUCUCUACUCAUUGAGAUCUUCAUUUUUGUGAAAUUUGAUAAUUUUUAAAAAUAGUUGAUUUUUCUGGCAAGUCGGGGCGGCUGAUCGCCGUGUGCGGCGGCGUGUGGGUCGAGACCCCACCUGCCCAUCCUAGGCUAAUUUGGAUGCCUUGAUUCCAUAUGUGAAGUCCGAUUAACGAAAUUCCAUUGUUUGGGUACAAGUUCGUUAAGGUUUGCCAUUUGGUCAUUAUUUGAAUCGAUGAUCCAACCGUUGGAUCGUAACCAAACUUUAGUAGGUUAUUAUUCAUAAUAUUUGAGGACCUUGAAAACUUAUGGAUCAGGAAUUCGACGUAUAGAUCUUCCCAAAUUGGAUUUGUAAGUUCGUAAAAUAAAAUGUUCACCGCCACUUGAAUUUGUAAUUGGCGGAGAUCCAACCGUUGGAUCGUAAUGAAACUUUAGUAUGAUGUUUUAGAAGCAUAAUGUGAAUCUUUCGGAUUGGAAAUCCAAGGUGCGGAUCUUCCGAAUCGAGUUACGUAGGGUUGUGGACCCUUACGUCGACCUUUAACCGACGGUUGACUUUUGGUCUAUGGGUUUCAAAUUAUUUUAGAACGUCCUUGGGGAUGUGUUUUAUGUAAGGUACGUGUCCUAUCAAAAAGAAUUCUGAGAAGUGAUUUGAUAAUUGUUCUAGGCGUCGAUCAUUCAAGACGCCUCGAUAUUCAUGCUAGGGAGUUGUAGCACUGACUCCAGGUGAGUGGGUCUUUUCCUUUUUAUAGUGUAUAUAUAUAUAUAUAUAUAUAUAUAUAUAUAUAUAUGAUUGAUAGUUUCCACAAAUGCUUUUGAAUUGAUUCAUGCACUUCAUGCCAUGAUUAAAUUAUGUUAUGAGAAAUGUUGCACUGUUGUGAAAUACCAAGAUGAUUAUACGGGAUGCGCAUGUAAGUUUAUUAUGUUGAUGGGAAUUAUUGCAUCAUUGUGGCAUGCUUAUACUCAUAUAGUUUGUUUAUCAAUGCUACACCCCGGUGUCAGUGCUCCAGCCCCGGGCCAGUGCUAGCCUUCAUGUGCUUGUUCACCUCCCGCACCGGACGCUCGCCUUGGAUCCAAGUAGGUGUUAGCCUAUCGUACAGACUGCAUUAGACAGUUCUGACUCGUAGGUGACCCACGCAUAGCGCCAGCUUCACGUGAUCGUAGCACUAGAGCAUUCAUUGUUACACCUAGCAUGUCAUACAUGUCACAUUAAGUGACUCCGACUCGUGUGUUAGCAUAGUCUAAUGAGCGAUAGGUGCAGUUGUACAUGUCACAUUAGGUGACUCCAAUUGACAUGCUAGUAUAGAUUACUGAGCACAUGAUCAUAUCUAAAUUACUGUUAAGCUAUUAUGAUGUGGCAUAUUUCUGGACUUACAGUUAGCAUGCAUUUGAUUUUCAUACUUAUACUUAGUAUGAUAUUUUGGAAACUAUACAUGUUUUACGGCGAGGGGUUAUAACGUUUUCAAAAAGGUUUUUAUAAAACUUUAUUUUCAGGCCCACUCACCCUUGUUUUUUGCCCCUCCAGGUUCUAGUAGCAGAGUUUUCGUAUCGACGAGGAUUAUUGGCAAAUCUUGGUGUAGAAGAUUACCAUCGAUGAUAUAAUUCUCACACCCUAUUUUACUGUACUGUACUUAUGCUCUAUCAUCAUGUGGGAAUUGGGUUCAUUCUCGCUCACCAGCGCACUCUUAUAUUUAGGCACUUUUAAGUUUAAAUUUAUUCACAUUUUCCACAUCACUAUACUUUGUGGCUUCGUCACCUUCCAAGUGUCGGCCAACACAACUCGAUUCAAAAACCUAAUGGACAUACCGGGUUAGGAUGUGUCAAUUUUAUAUCAGAGCAUAAGUUGGGCAGUAUUGCAUUCAUCACACAGUGUGAUGUAAGCAUUUUAGGUUCUUGAGCCUAAUUUUCGAAUCUUGCCACCUUGUCGAAUCACGAAAAAUGUGUUAGCUUUUCCUAAGUUUUGGGCAGUUUUGUUGACAUUUUAGAAGAUCACUUUGGCAAACACUUUUAGACUUAAAGUGAAGAACUUCCACGCCAAGGAAAGAUGUAGAUUUGAGACAAGUUGAUGGCCCUAAAGCAAGGCUAAUAUAUCGUGUUAAUGCACAAAAUCAGCGAGGACUUUGGUACAACAGAAAUUGUUAUGUUUGUGACCUUCGCUAGAUUGCUCCGGUCACUAAUGUGGAUAAGUAUGUAAAUGGAUAGAAACAGGGAAGUAAACACAAGAUGUACGUGGUUCACCCAGAUUGGCUAUGUCCACGAAGUAGAGGAGUUCUCAUUAAUUGUGAAGGGUUUACACAAGUACAUAGAUUCAAGCUCUCCUUUAGUGAGUACUAGUAAAUGAUUUAAUACAAAUGACAUUAGGAAAUAUUGUGGAAGAAUGAUCUUUUUCUAUAGAAGAGAGUUUUUAGCUUUGUUUUGACAUUGACAUGUGUCGUGUUGUGAUUGGCUUCUGAUAUUGACAUGUGUCAUGUUAUGAUUGGCUUCUUAUGUCGACAUGUGUCGCGCAAUGAUUUGCCUCCUGGUUGAAGGGAAACUCUUCUGGGUCCUUGACGGUAUAACGUUGACCGAUGCUCAGUAGUUUCGGGAUUGGUCAAGUAUGGUACAGACAGUGCUCCCCUAAGUUCCCGAGUGAGGGAAGCUCCUCGGUUGGGGACUUGCAAGAUCCAAGCCGCUGAGUAAUCACGAAACUUAUAAGUACCGAAGUGUGGUAUCGUUUUCACUUGCCUUAUCUGUCUCAUAAGUAGAUGUGUCAUCUUCUCUGGAAGCACUUUUCCUCCAUCCAGGGAUGGUAUCUUUAACCGGUGGAGAUGCACAAGGUAAUGUAUCAAUUUCACUUGAAGCUUACUUGUAGUUUCAGGCUUGGUCAAGCACGAUACAAACCAUGUAGUAGGAGUCCCCCAAGUCGUCGAGCUAGGAGAUCUGCCGAAAGAGGUAAUAGACAAGGUAAGCAAUCAGAGCUCCCAACAAUCAGUCCUAGAUUAGAAGUUUGAUUUCGAGUUCCGGCUGAUUGUUCUCAUUCUCCAUAUCUUGCAGGUAGCAGGAAGGAUAAAGAGAAGAAAAAUGAGAAGAGAUGAUAUGAGAUACUUUUGUUUUUGAAGAAGUAACUUUCCACAUGCUUAUUCUUGAACUGGGCUGGAGGGUUUUUUGGUUUCCUCCAAAGUAUAAGGCCGACUCAAGAAUUUGAGUGUCAAAACAAGCCUAUAAAAUCAAGAGUGCGUUCGACCUUGAUAAUAUGGGAUACUUUUGCUGUUGACAAAGUAAUAGAUGAAUCAGCACGUGUUCUGUUGCGCUUGUCUCCACAUGCUUCUUUGUAUCUUUCUCACUUGCCCUCUCUGUUCCUCAGACAGAUAUGGUAUCUUUUCUGGAAGCAUAAGAUAUUGAAGAUGAGUACUCGAGAGCAAUGUCAGGUAAGUAAUCAGGCAAGGAGUUCCAAGCAGUCAGUUCCUAACUGGAAGCUUGAUUCCAAGUGCUGACUGAUUGCUUUAUUUCUCCUUAUCUUGCAGGUAAAAAAACAAGGCCAAAGGAAAAGACAGGGAAAAAGCAUGAUAUGGGAUACUCUUGCUUUUAACCCUGAUGAUAUAAGAUACUCUUACUCUGAUAUGGCUUGUCUGCAGAGGUAUUAUCGAGGGGAAAAGAAGCUGAGUAUUUUGAGAGACUCUGCUGAGAAUGCCCUCUUGGAUGUGAAGAAAAGUUGAGCAUUUUUUUUUAUUUGCAGGUCUGCCUGGCUGUGGAGGAUGAAGGUCGACAUAUAUAGGAAUUAUCCCAACAGCGAGUGGUAACACUGUUCCUUUACCCUUCUCGGUCAUAGUAAUAUAGUGUGGAGCUGCAAGAUUCACGUGUUUUAACUUUGUCAGAGCACUUUGAAAAAGUGGUUUGUGGUAUCUGGAAAGCUGAUGUUGCAUGUGAAGAUUGCAGACAAGCUUUAUCCAAGGAAAUUUGGCUCUUGAAGUUUGGAGAACAAUGCCUCUUUGGUUUUUGAACAAGCAUCCUGUCGGGGAUCUGGCUCUUGAGAUUCGGAGAACGGUGCCUCUUCAAUUUUUGAGAAAGCAAUCCUGUUGAGAGUCCAGCAUUUGAGAUUCAGAGAGCGGUGCCUCUUCAAUUUUUGAGAAAAGUAAUCCUGUUGGAAGUCUGGCUAUCCAGAUUCGGAGAAUGGUGUCUCUUCGAUUUUUGAGCAAGCAAUCUUGUUGGGAGUGUUUUCUCAAAUGUGAGUAAAGGUUGGGCAUAUUUGCCAGUCUGCCUUGCCACGGAGCACAUAGGUGAACACACAUAGGGACUUUCCAGUUAUCAAGCAGUGGUGCUGUUCCCUCUACCCUUGUGGGUAAUAGUAGGGUAGCUGAACCUUUAAAAUUUAUGUGUCUAAACUUUGUCAAAGAUCUUUGGCAAAGUUAUCUGUGGUACCCGAUGAGCUGAUGUUGCGUGUGGGGAUUGUCGACAUAUUUUACUCAGGAAAAUCUACUUCUCGAAAUCCGGAGAGUGGUGCAUCUUCGAUUUUUGAACAAACGGCCCUGCUGCCCUUCCUUUUAUAGGGGCACCAAUUGUGUGCAAGAAGUACGUUCAGAGAGUUAUUGCUUGUAGGAAUUUUCCCUUAUUUUCGUACUUCAGAGAUUUAUUGGACCUUAUUUCUCCUUCAUCAUUUCUGAAAAUGUCUGGCCCAUCAGACCGUCGUUUUGACUUGAACUUUGGUGAAGAGGCAGCCAUGCCUCCUUAGGACAACAUAUAUCACCUAUCAUUCUUAUCCCCUACUGGUCCUCUUACCGUUGGGGAUUCUAUGAUGAAGAAUGAUAUGACCGCUGCGGUGGUGGCCAGGAACCUUCUCACUCCCAAAGAUAACAUACUACUUUCCAAACGGUCUGAUGAGUUGGCUGUUAAGGAUUCUUUGGCUCUCAAUGUUCAGUGUGCAGGUUCCGUGUCUAAUAUGGCCCAACGUUUAUUUGCUCGAACCCGCCAAGUUGAAUCAUUGGCGGUUGAAGUGAUAAGUCUCAAACAGGAGAUUAGAUGGCUCAAGCAUGAGAAUAAACAGUUGAACAGGCUCGCACAUACUAUGCUACAAACAUGAAGAUGAAGUUUAACCAGAUGCAGGAAUCUGAUGGUCAGAUUUUACUUGAUAAUCAGAGGUUUGUGGGUUUGCUCCAAAGGCAUUUAUUACCUUCGUCUUCUAGGGCUGUACUGCGUAAUGAAGCUCCGAAUGAUCAACCUCCGAUGCCUCUUCCUUCUGGGGUUCUGUCCAGUACUAAGGCUCCAAAUGUUCACCCCCCGGUGCCUUCUCUUUCUAGGGCUCUGCCGACUGCUGAGACUUCUCCUGAGCAACCAUUGUGAAAGCUCCCUCUUGUUUGUUUAUUUUGACUCAUGUAUAUGUACAUAUUUGUAACUUAUCGGAGAUACCAAUAAACAAGCUUUACUUUAUUUCAACGUAUUGUGUUAAAUACACCAAAGCCUUCUUCACUAAGUUCUUUGAAUUUUUUCUUUUGUUGAAGCUUGUAUGUUGAAGCUUUGUGAGUGAAUGUAUGUUGAGGUAGUGCUCCCUUAAUUUCCCGAGUGAGGAAAACUUCUCGGUUAGAGACUUGAAAAAUCCAAGUCACUGAGUGGUCGUGAGACUUCCGAGUAUCAAAGUGCAGUAGCAUAUGGUAGGAGUCCCCCAAGUCUCCGGUUGAGGGAGUUGACGAAUGAGGCAUUUCCUUUCUAAGUGGUAUCCCAAAACUCCUCAUUCAUAUAUAUUUGUUAUGAAAGUUGUUAGGCUCAAUGAAGAGGAGGCCUAGGCAAUUUUUUUUUUUUUUAAAUUUAAAAUUUCCAAAUUUUCCCAAUUUUCCGAAUUUUCGAAUUUCCGAAAAAAAAAAUUAUAUAUAUAUAUUUUAAGCUUUGUAGGUGAAACUUUGGUGUUGAAGCUUUGUAAGUGAAACUUUGAGGUUGAAGCUUUGUUGGGUACCAUGAAUUGAUUUUGCUUCACACUAUCUUGAUCAAGAGUGUUUGAAGCUUUUGUGUUAAAGCUUUGUAGGGUGAAGCUUUUGUGGGUGAAGCUUUUGUGUUGAAACUUUUGUAGGUGAAGCUUUUGUAGGUGAAGCUUUGGAGUUGAAGCUUUUGUUGGGUACCAUGAAUUGAUUUUGCUUCACACUAUCUUGAUCAAGAUAAUGUGAAGCUUUUGAGAAUUUGUAGUUGCCCUCCAUUUGUUGAAGCUUUUGUGGUGAAGCUUUGUUGGGUACCAUGAAUUGAUUUUGCUUCACACUAUAUUGAUCAAGAUAGUGUGAAGCUUUUGAGAAUUUGUAGUUGUCCUCCAUUGAUGAAGCUUUGUUGAAUUUCCCAAUUUCCUUUUAUUUUUUUUGGGAAACAAGAAAUUUGAAAAUGUGGGAGAGACAAAAUAUUCAAAUUUUGCUUCCACAUUGUUGAGCAAGAGAUUGUGAUGCAUGCCAGACCUUGUAGUAGUCGAAGGUUUGGAUGAACCAUAUAAAUUGAAUUUGCUUGGAAUAGUCUUGAUCAAGAGUGUGUGAAGCUUUCUACGAGUUGUAAUAGCCUUUCAUUGAUGAAGCUUUUAUUGGCACCAUAAAUUGGUUUUGCUUCACACUGUCUUGAUCAAGAGUGCGUGAAGCUUUUGAGAAUUGUGGUUGCCCUUCAUUGAUGAAGCUCUUGUUGGCACCAUAAAUUAGUUUUGCUUCACACUGUCUUGUUGGCGCCAUAAAUUGGUUUUGCUUCAUACUGUCUUGAUCAAUAGUGUGUGAAGCUUUUGAGAAUUGUGGUUAAACUCCUUUGAUGAAGCUGUUGUUGGCACCAUAAAUUAGUUUUGCUUCACACUGUCUUGAUCAAGAACGUGUGAAGCUUUCUACGAGUUGUAGUGUUUGCAUUGUUACAGAGGAGAAAUGUCUGAAGCAGAUGCAAGAGGGCUGAAUAUCUUGAUCUUCGUAUUGCAUGCACUGAAGUUGUUGUUGGAUUGCAAUAAGACUUUGUUGGUGACUAUAACUCUUGUUAGGCAUAAGUGCUCCCCUAGUUGAGUUGUCAAGCUAGAGGGUUUUUGAUUAUUUGUGAAUGCUAGGAGUUCACAUGUACAAGUUGUACCACUCGUCUUCUGGUAGGUGGAAUGAAUGGUGAGUUGCUUUCAUCACUUGGUUGGUGGCAUGAAUGGCAAGUUGCCAAAUGAUAUUAGAGUAUGGGUUAUACAUUUCAUCACCUGGUUGGUGACAUGAAGGAGAGUACGGGUUGUACAUUUCAUCACCUGGUUGGUGGCAUGAACAUGAGUUCCUUCUUCACAUUUCAUCACCUGGUUGGUGAGAAUAAGGGCAAGGUGUCGAGGUACAUUGUAGCAAGUGUCGAAUAACAUAAAGUAUGUUGAACCUUUUCAAAGUACAGUUGACUUAUGUAUGAAUGUGUUGGAAUGUAUGAUUGAACGAAUAUAAUGUGAAGCUGUUUGUUUAUUAGUAUAGUCUUGUUGACAUAUACUUAGACUUUGUUUUAUGUUGGAAGCAUUCAUGUUGAAGCUUUAAACCCGAGUGUUUCAUUGCUAGGAAUGUAAGAGGAUUAAGACCGAGUUGUCUAAAUCACCUAUUUAUUGAAUUUAUGCCAAAUAGUCUUCGUUACAUAGGAUGUCGAACGGCUGAAGCUUAACACUUGUACAAUGUGAGUUUAUUUGUAAUAGUACUUCAAGUGAUCAGCGUUCCAUAGGUAGCCAAGGGUCUUGCCAUCAGAGCUUCUAAGCUUGUAGGAGCCAAGGCGAUUGAUGCCAACAACUUCAAACAGUCCAUCUCUGUUUGGAAUAAGUGUUCCUCUACUCGGGACUUUGUCGUAGAGUAAUAUUUUCUUCAAUACCAGUCCCCUACUUUGAAAGAACGAGGUUUGACCCUUGAGUCAUAGUAGUUGGCUUGUAGGCGACAUUCUUCAAGUGAGCCUGGUUUCUGUGUUCCUCAACUAGAUCUAAGUUGAGGGUAAGUUGUUUUUCAUUUUUGCUUUGCACGUAGUUUUAGACUCGAAACGUUGCUUGCUCAAGCUCAACUGGGACAACUACCUCUAUACUAAAGCCAAGUGAGAAUGGGGUUUCUCCUGUUGACGUCCGAUACGAAGUACGGUAUGACUAAAGAACUUGGGGUACAAAUUCUGGCCAACAACCUUUAGCCUUGUCCAAGCUAGUUUUCAAAGUUCGCUUGAUUAUUUUGUUGAUGGCUUCAACUUGUCCAUUAGACUGGGGAUGAGCUGGGGAGGCAAAAUAUAAGUUAAUUUUGAACUUGGAGCAGAACAUCCUGAACUUAUUGUUGUCGAACUGUCACUCGUUUUCAGUGACUAUCGCAUUGGGAAUGUCGAAUCUGCAAAGGAUGUUCUUCCAUACGAAGUCUUCUAUUUUUGCCUCUGUAAUGGUAGCCAAAGGUUCUAGUUCGGUCCACUUUGUGAAGUAGUUAACUGUAACGAUUGCAUAGCGGACCUUACCCUUCCCUGCAGGCGUUGGGCCGAUCAAAUCAAGUCCCCAUUGGGUGAAGGGCCAAGGCCUGAUCAUAGAAGUGAGUGGCUCGGGAGGGGAGUAAGGUAUAGUUACGUAGCAUUGACAUUUAUCACAUGAGCGGGAUAUUCUGAUAGCAUCUUGGUGGAGUAUUGGCCAGUAAUAUCCUUGGUGAAAAGCCUUGUAUGCUAGGGAUCGAGAUCCACCAUGAUUUCCGCAGACUCCUUCAUGUAUUUUCCAAAUGACAGUUUUAGCCUCUGCGGGCGUAAGGCAUCUUAGGUAUGGUAGGUUAAAACCCCGCUUGUAGAGUUGAUCAGUAAUGAUCAAGUAACGGGUAGCCUUGUAUCGAAUCUGCUUAGCUUGCACUUUUUCAUUGGGAAGGGUGUCAUGAGCAAGGAAUCUAUAAAUCGGGGUAAUCCAACUAUCCCUCUGUUGUAAGUUGCACACUUCCGCAGCCAUGGUGCUUGGUGUUGCCAACAAAUUGACCUGAAUUUUUCUCCCAAUCUUGUCUUUCACCUCUAAGGCGAGGCGAGCCAAAGCAUUUGCAUGAUUGUUUGCCGCUCGAGGAAUUUAGGUGAUCUGGUAGUGGAAGUGCUGGAGCAACAAUUGUGUUUGUGCCAGAUAUGCUGCCAUAGAGCUAUCCUUAGCGUCAAAGUUGUUAGUGACCUAGUUAACCACCAAUUGGGAGUCACUGAAGAUAUCAAUUCGUUUAACCCCAAGGUGUUUGGCCAAACGUAAGCCUGCUAUAAAGGCUUUAUAUUUGACCUCAUUGUUCGACACCUUGAAUUUGAAACGAAGAGCAUACUCCAUUGCCACUUUGUCAGGGGUCGUAAGGACUAGUCCUACUCUACAACCUUGUUGGUUGGACGAGCCAUCAACAUAUAGACUCCAUGCUGGGGUUGUUGGUUCUAUUUUCUGAGGGUAAUGAAACUACUUCCUUAGGCAUAAAAACAAUGUCAACAGGAUAUGUGAAGUCAGCGAUGAAGUCUGCCACUGUUUAGCCCUUUUCAGCUAGCUUUGGUUGGUAGAAGAUGUCAAACUCACCCAAUGUUAUCGCUCAUUUGAUCAUUCACCCCGAAGCGUUAGGACUUUGGAGUAUCUGUUGAAGAUAAUGAUUGAUAAGCACGAUAAUGGAGUGUGCUUGGAAGUAAGGGCGAAGUUUUUGAGCUGACAUAACCAAUGAUAGAGCCAAUUUCUCAAUGUUGGAGUAUCAUGUCUCCGCAUCUUGUAAGGCCUUGCUAGAGUAAUAGACAAGUCGUUCGACAUUACCAUCAUUUCGAAUGAGAACAGAACUUACUGCUGAAGCCGAUACUGACAGAUAGAUAAUAAGAGUGUCACCAACCUCUGGUUUGGAGAGUAGAGGGGCUUUACUCAUGUAGUCUUUGAGGUUCUUGAAUGCAUCGGCACAUUCAUCAGUCCAUGUAUUGUACUUCUUACUUCCUUUAAGUGCUUUGAAGAAAUGAGAGCACAUUUGUCUGUGGCCUUAGAGACGAACCUAGUUAAGGCUGCCACCUUGCUAGUAAGGCUUUGGAUGUAUUUUGAAGUUACCGGUUCCUUCAUGUCGAGGAUUGCUUUGAUCUUCUCGGGAUUAGCCUUAAUGCCUCGUUGGCUUAUCAUGAAGCCUAAAAAAUUUGCCAGAGCCUACGCCGAAGGCACAUUUGUUGGGGUUCAACCUCAUUCGAUACCUCUUUAUAAUGGUGAAAGUUUUAGAUAGGUUGGUGAUGUGUGUGUGUUGGUCAGCAUGUUUGCUUUUGACUAGCAUAUCAUCAAUGUAAACUUCCAUGCUCUUCCUAAUCUGUUCGGUAAACAUUGAAUUGAUCAGUCUCUGAUAAGUUGCUCCUGCAUUCUUUAGGCCGAAUAGCAUGACUUUAUAACAAUAUAGUCCAUUGUCAGUAGUGAAGGCUAUGUGUUCUUGGUCCGGAGGGUUCAUGAGGAUUUGGUUGUAUCCUGAGUAAGCAUCCAUGAAGCUCAAGAGCUCACACCUUGCCGUAAAGUCUGUAAGUCUGUCAAUGAGAGGAAGAGGAAAGCUAUCAUUCGGGCAUCCUUUGUUUAGGUUGGUGUAGUUGACACACAUUCUCCACAAGACCUUUUGAAGCAGGAGACUUUCUUUGGUAGGAUUUUUCUUAACAAGGACCACAUUUGCUACCCAUGUUGGGUAAUUGACUUCUCGGACGAAGCUUAUGCCUUUGAGUUUUUCAACUUCUGCCUUCAUUUCUUCGUAUCGUUCAGUGUCAUAAGAUCUUCGCUUCUGUUUUUACCAACUUGGUCUUGGGGUCAAUACUCAAGCGAUGACAUAUGAUAUUGGGAGAGAUGCCUGGCAUGUCCUCGUAUAACCAGGUGAAGACCUUAGUGUUCUUUUGCAAAAAAGAGAUUAAUGCCAACCGAAUGGGUGGUGACAAGGUGGUGCCAAUUUUCACCAUGCGAUCUGGAUAAUCUUUUGAGAUAGAAACCUUCUCCAACUCUUCAGCGAGUUGUGUUUGCUGGGUGAAAGAGUCGUCUCAAGGAUCGUCGGGUUGACUGUUGCCACCAUGAAGAUCCAAGUUGGCUUCGUUUAGGCUUGUCUUUAUGACGUGUCAUGUAUAGAAAGGGUUUCCUUGGGCACAAGCAGGUGCUGUUACUUGACCGAAGUGUUUGUAACAUGAUCGUGCACUAAGUUGAUCUUCUCUGAUGUAACCAUUGUCAUAGGGGGUUGGAAAUUUCAUCAACAACAUAUGUGUGGAUACCACGACCUUGAGAUCAUUGAUUCCUGUGCGUCCGAAGAUGACAUUGUAUGCCAUUGGGCAAUCAACCACCAGGAAGUUAGUGGUAAUGGUAGCUGUGUAAGGGCUUGUACCAAUGGUGAAAGGUAAGUGUAUGCUCAAUGUAUGCUCCCUAAAGGUUGCAUGAUAUCACUGUAAAAGCUUAUCAGAGGAGAAAUCGAGUGAUCAAACAAGUGUUCAACUACAUUAAGUGCCCUGAAAGCUUCAGCAAACAUGAUAUUGACCGAAACCCCCGUGUCUACCAGGAUUCGUCGUACUUAAAAGUUAGCUAUGUGAGCUUCCACGAUCAGUGGGUCAUUGUGAUGGUAGAUGAUACCUCUUUCUUUCUCAGGGUAGAAACAUAUUAGAUCCCAGUUAGGCUUUUGAUACUUGCCUCCUCUGAUGUCUUCCACGUGAAACAUUCGGUGACCAGGCCUUAAAGCUCGUUCGCUGUUUUUCAUAGCCCUGUUGGAAGAUUUAGAUAUGGGUGUACCGCCACUUAUGGAAUAUAUCACAUUCACCUGGCGUUGGUUAUGGCUACCCUUUGGAGGGUGAAGGAGAAAUUGAUCAAUUUUUCCUUCAUGUGCCAAAGCUUCAAUAUGAUCACGAAGGGUGAUACACUUCUUGCCUUCAUGGCCGUUAUGUUUGUGGUAGCAACAAAACGUGCCCGUGUUCUUCGUGGGCUUGUAAUCCGGGUGCCUCUGCUUUGGCUUCGGUAUCAGGUGUGCUAUGCUGGGGUAAAUGGCCACGUAUGUGGCAUUCAAAGGUAUGUGUAUGCCUCAUACCUCGGGGUAAGGCCUGUCCUGACACGUGCUUAACCCACUGUGUUGACUGCCUGGGGUCGAGGAUUAUCGUGGCGAUACCCUUGGUUAUCGCGGUAGUGUCCCUUACUCAUUUUACUAAAAUGAGACUGGUGAGGAUGGAAAUCUUUCCUUUUGCCCUGAGAUUGAUAUGUCUGUUAACUUGGCAAAGUAUUAAGUAAGGCAGGGGGAGGCACCGCUGCCAUUUGGAAGGUUGAGGUCUUCUCGUUUGGGUGGGUCUGGCUUCCACUUCUCACUUGCUGAUAGGGGAUGGUUGUUGGGGGCUUCUCUUAGUAUGUCCUUGCCUCGGCGGAGGCAUGGUUAUAAGCCUGCGCCAUCACCUCAGAGUAAGUUUUCCAAAUGUUAGCAUUGAUCAUGUACUUAAAGAAACAGUCACGUAGGCCUGCCGUGAAGGCUUUGAGGGCAGUCUUGUCGUCUACCUCGGCACAACGGGAAUACUCAUAGCUGAAGCGGCCAACAUACAUAUGUAAUGACUCGUCUGGCUUCUGGUGAAUAGUGUACAAGUCAUUCGCAGAGUGCAAGCGAUCGGUCUGGAAAAUGUGUUGAGAAACAAACAGUUUCCUUAAUUCCUCAAAUGAGUCUAUCAUGUCAGGUGGAAGACGGCAAUACCAGUUUCGAGCUCCGCCAGAGAGGGUGGAGGGGAAGAGAAGACAUCGCUCUUCGUCGAUGUGCAUCCGGUAUGCCAUGGUGGACUCAAAAAGGUUAAAGUGUUCAAUCGGGUCCUCAUUUCCAGUAUAAAGUUGCAAGCCAAGCUUCUACUUUGUCUUUGCUUGGAGGGGGUGUCGAAGAUCCUCCUUGUAAAAGGGCCAGGCCUAGGUUGGUUCCAAUCAGGUAUUUCAGCUUGUCGUUCAGCAUUCAACUUGUUUACUUCCUUAAGGAUCUGUAGGACAAGAGGAUCCUGAGUGGAGUCAUGUACCAUUGGAGCUUUCUUUAGUAAAUCUCCAUCUCAUCUUGGAAGUAGGAAGGUUUGAUCAAGAGCAUGUGAUUUUUCCCUGAACUCCCCGUACUGACUUCCAAGGUAUGUCUGUCGGAACAUCUCUAAGUCCCUUAUACCUUCAUGUUUCUCUCGGACUUAUUGCCCCUUCCCCAAAUUGGUAGCUGGCUUGGGACAUGGGAGGGGAUCGAGUAUUUCAGAGACCCUUGGGUCAUUGAUCUUCGAGCUUACAUGGAUGGGAUUGUCUCGACGUUGCUUUAGGAAGUCUCGACAGUCGUGAAAGAUGGCUUUUGAUCCUUCCACUCCUUCUGUAAGGAGGUGCCUUCCUCCACUCCUCCUGCUUCGAGUCGAAGCAGCUGGGUUGAGAGAAGUCUCAUGUUGGUCGCCAUUUCGAUGAGUAGCUCACUCCUCAAUAGGAAUACCCAUGUCGAGGGUAAAUGACCUUCCAUAUUGGGGGCACCCAGUUGAUGGUUGACUUCCACAGGGGUGAUGAUCUCUUGUGUUUUAAUAUAUCUAGCCUCGUGGAGCAUCUUAAAGACCUUCUCAUACUGCUAUUAGAGGAUCUCAUUCUUCAUCGCUAUCUUGUUGUUCUAAGCCUUCAGCUCAUUGACUUUAGCCUGAAGAGCAAACUUCUUUUGUUCCUUCUUUCAUUGCUUCGCACCAGGUGCAAUAGGGUGUCAUUCUAUGUGCUAUCGUUUCCUUUGCUCCUUAUGUUGGAAAGGGUUGCCUGGUCAAAAGAGAGUGUACGAAUGGUGGAAACCAGCUUAACAAAGCUGAAGAGAGUGGGAAUAAGUGUCGUUCCCACAGAUGGCGCCAAAUGUUGAUGCACAAAAUCAGCAAUGACUUUGGUACAAUAGAAAUUGUUAUGUUUGUGACCUUCGCUAGAUUGCUCCGGUCAUUAGUGUGGAUAAGUAUGUAAAUGGAUAGAGACAAGGAAGCAAACACAUGAUGUACGUGAUUUACCCAGAUUGGCUAUGUCCACGGAAUAGAGGAGUUCUCAUUAAUUGUGAAGGGUUUACAAAAGUACAUAGGUUCAAGCUCUUCUUUAAUGAGUACUAGUGAAUGAUUUAGUACAAAUAACAUUAAGAAAUAUUGUGGGAGAAUGAUCUCUUUUUAUAGAAGAGAGUUUCUAGCUUUGUUUUUACAUUGACACGUGUCGUGUUGUGAUUGGCUUCUGAUGUUGACACGUGUCACGCUAUGAUUGGCUUCUGAUAUCGACAUAUGUCGCGCUGUGAUUGGCCUCUUGGUUAGAGGGAAACUCUUCUGGGUUCUUGAUGGUAUAACGUUGACCGGUGCUCAGUAGUUUCAGAUUGGUCAAGUAUGGUACAAACAUAGCGAUAACAGUGUAUGACCAGGGAUCUAUAAAUCAAUCCCAUCAUUAUUUUCACGCCAUCAUUAUCAACCUUUUCGAGAUAAGAAACCAGAACUGAUUUUGAUUCCUUGGUAGUACUCGUUAGCAUACCAUCUAUUAGGAUUCCUACGAUGUUUACUCCGUCAAGAUUCCAAAAUUGUCUUGAGCGAUAACCUGGUGCUAAAGUGGUAGCACUUGACGUAAGAACAUCAAGCGGGACAAUCACUUUUGGUCUCUGAUAGCACUUGUUGAUGCACAAAACCGGAGGUCUUGGUACAACGUAAAUCCGACCGUGAAUCUGCAUGAAAUGUAAAUAACACAAGAUGUAUCGUGGUUCACCCCAAGGUUUGGGCUACGUCCACACUAAUUGUAUUGUAUUUCUCUAAGAAGUGAGGGAGAUAGAGAGCUCUGAGAGUGAGAGCGUUGAGAGGGUGAAAAGUUUUAGGAAUUGGCCUCCCUAAUUGUAAGGGUGAGGGGUCCUUUUAUAGAAUAAGGACUCUUCAUUUAUUACAUAUUUGCCCCUUUCUUUAUCACAUAAUUACAUUUAAGUCCUCCGAAUAUUUGUACGAGAUCUAAAUAUGAGGCCCUAAUAUGGUAUAAACAGUAAUCCCCUAAGUCUUCAGUUAAGAGAGUCUUUUGGCUGGAGACUUGAAAUUCGGUCUAUAUGUGGGCCGAAGUAACUAGAUGUUGUCUUGAACUGAUGCUCGAUAUGAGGCGGUGCUCAAUCUGAAAUGAUGCUCAACUAGAAGUAGCACAUGCUGCGAGGCUGCUCGGCUCGUGGCUUAUGUUGCCUUGGUUAGCUCGGCUUGUGGCGUUGAGAGAGUCCUUUUUAUAGAAUAAGGGCUCGCUCCUCAAUACAUAAAUGAUGGGCUAGAGUUGAUGCUUGCGGCGAGGCGGUUGCUCAGUAGGCGGCGAUGCUCUCUAAUGGUGGUGAGGGAGUCCCUUUUAUAGAAUAAGGGCUCGCUCCUUGAUACAUAAGUGAUGGGUUAGGAGUGAUGCUCGCGGUGAGGCCGUUGCUCAGCUGGCGGCGUUGCUUUCUAAUGAAGGUGAGGGAGUCCCUUUUAUAAAAUAAGGGCUCGCUCCUUAGUACAUAAAUAAUGAGUGCUCUCUAAUGAAAGUGAGGGAGUCUUUUUUAUAGAAUAAGGGCUCGCUCCUUAAUACAUAAAUGAUGGGCUAAGUCCCCCAAGUAUUUUUCAUGAGACCUAGUUGAGGCCCAAUAUAUGGUACAUAAUGUAGUCCCCCAAGUCUUCGGUCAAUAAAGUCUAUUGGCUGGAGACUUCAAAUUGAAUCCAUGUAUGGGUCGAAGUGGCGGUUGUUCGGAGGCGGUAUUUGUAUACCCUGCACUAAAUCUUUGUAAGUGAAGCUUUGCAAGUGAAGCUUUGAAGCUAGAGCUCUGUAAAUGACGCUUUUGAAGUUAGGGUUCUGUAAAUGAAGCUUUUGAAGCUGAUUGACAUGAGUGAUGCUCAUGAAUAUUUAUGUUGAUUGACAUGAGUGAUGCUCAUGGAUGUUGUCAUGAGUGAUGCUCAUGAAUGUUAACAUGAGUGAUGCUCAUGAAUGUUUAUGUAUGAUUGUCAUGAGUGAUGCUCAUGAAUGUUUAUGUAUGAAUGACAUGAGUAAUGCUCAUGUAUAAUUUGGAGUACUGGGCGUACUUUUGAUCACUUGGUUGGUGGUAUGAAGGAGAGUACAGGUUGUACAUUUCAUCACCUGGUUGGUGGCAUGAAUGGUUAGUUGCCAAAUGAUAUUAGAGUACGGGUUGUACAUUUCAUCAUCUGGUUGGUGGUAAUAGUUGCGGGUUGCAGAAUAAUUGUGGAGUACUGAGCGUACUUUUGAUCACCUGGUUGGUGGCAAUAGCGGCAUGUUGUCGAAUAAUUGUGGAGUAUUGGGCGUACUUUUGAUCACCUGGUUGGUGGUAAUAGCGGCAGAUUGCCGAAUAAUUGUGGAGUACUGUGCGUACUUUUGAUCACCUGGUUGGUGCUAUUUUGGGCUUAUGGGCCUUCGCCCUCCACAACAUGCCAGCCCAUUUAUUUUGGGCUUUGGCUAUUUUUUUUUUUACCCUCUGAUGGGGUUUAUAUAGAUAUCUCCAAAAGAUACGAAAAAUAAAUUACAUCAUUCAAAAAUAAGGAAAGUAAACCACAUCAUUCUGGUGGGGUGUUUAUUCCUUGCUUUUGCUUUCUCUUUUACUUUCUUUUUUGCUGAUGCUUUUCUUGAUCUCCCAGCUCCUUGCUUUUGCUUUCUGUAUUUCUUUAUGAUUUUCUUUCUGUUUCUUGACCCUGAUGAAUAUGGCAGACAAGAAAUGAUAAUAGAUUUAAUAAUAAGAAAACAAUCUUAUCUCCGUUUUUGCUUUGUUUUUUCUUUUGCUUUCUUCUUUUCGCUUUCCUCUCUUUCUGUCUCUGAGCUGUCAUGCAUGUGCACCCUUGAAUCUGCAGGUUAGCCACGAUGGUGAUGUAAAGGUUGCCGACGAAGUGUGGGUAAUUUCCAGCUGGGUCGUUGACGAUGGCCGGAGACGGGUAUGACCCGGUUUGGGCUCUCUCUUUCAUGUCGAUUCUCCCAUUCUGCCUGAAUCUACUCUCUCUUUCAAUCUUUCUCUCUCUAGAAUAGAGGACUUGCUUGCAGUCUCUUGUUUCUUUAUCUCUCUAGACCAAAGAGUACAGCUGGACCAUGUGCUCACCAACUUCUGUUUUUUUUACACCUUUUUCAGCUGUAAGUCCACAGCCGAGAAAAGAGAAAGCAACGGGAAACACCAAGGCCUGGAAGCCAACGCCAGCAUUGAGGUUGUGAAACGCAGCGUAAUGAGCGUUGCCGUUGUGGGACUCGGUAAUGGAAAGCCACGAGUCCUGAGGAUUGAGCUUGGUGAGAUGGCCCACCUCCUUCAAGUGUCCCUUCAUGUUGACGAGCACCCUCUUCAUUGGCGUCCUGAUAGGGCUGAGGAACCUCAGUGAGAUGAACGACGUCGGAGUCCAGGCCGUUGACGACUUGGCCUCCUUGGACGAGGGACGAGGCGACCUCUGCCUAGAUGGGGUCUGUAUCUCCGGCGUGGACACCCCGUGUGAGGUCGUCGGAAUGGGUAUCCAUUUCGUUUCCAGCCUCUUGUAUCUCCGGCGUGGACACCCCGUUUAAUGCAUUUUCCUGACAUAUCCUUCCACCUGAUCAUCCAGUCGGAAGAAGAAUGAGCACCAGCACCAUGAGCAAAGACCACCACAGGGGAUAAUAUAUCUGGUGUGGAUGAAGGUGCCGCUGACGGGUCAUCUGAUUCAUCUUUGCUCUGGUUCUUACGCCUGCAUUUUGACUGUGGUGGCAACGAGGCUGAUGACAAGUGCUGCACAGGGUCGUUGGUGGUGGUGCGCUCGAAGUCGAAGGAGGCGGUGCGAUGGAGGAUUGUGGCGUAGAAGCAGAAGGUGCCGGAGCUGUGGGCGGUGGCGGCGAGGUUGUGUUGGUCGACGGCGUCGGAGCCGACAUUGUGUAAAUCAAACGAACCUUGCAAUCCUAUGUUUCAAGACUCGAAAUUUGCACGGAUAUUGGACAAGAUCUGAAGCAAGAAGCAGUUUCAUGGAAGUUUGUCAGGUCAUGAGGGCGCUUGUUUGCACUGAUGAUCAACAAAUCCAAAUUUAAUGAUGGAAUAGUUAAAGCUGAAAAUGCGUUCAAGUUUUCAAAUGAUGAUGAAGAUGAAGGGACUUGUUUUCCAUAGAUUAUGAAAAUCAACAUAUCCAGACCGCUUUAGAGCUCUUCAAAUUGCAAUGAGGAUUAGGUCUUCAAAUUGUAAUGGGGGAAUAUAGAAGCUCAGAGAUAGUUUGAGAGACCUUUUUAGAGUGUUAAGCUACUGGGCAUACUCUCUUGCCGUCUGGGGGACUAAUUGAGAGAGUUUGAGAGACUUUUUGAGGUUUUUUUGUGAUUUUACAGUUUCACGGUGGAGGUGAAAAAAUGAAAGAGAACCGACAUAACUUUUCAUAUUGAUUCCCACAGACAGCGCCAAAUGUUGAUGCACAAAACCGGAGGUCUUGGAACAACGUAAAUCCGACCGUGAAUCUGCAUGAAAUGUAAAUAAUAUAAGAUGUAUCGUGGUUCACCCUAGGUUUGGGCUACGUCCACACUAUUUGUAUGUAUUUAUCUGAGAGGUGAGAGAACCUCUGUAAUGUGAGAGGGGAUGUGAGAGGAUGAGAGAGCUUAAGGCCUAAGAAUUGGCCUCCUCUAAUUGUGAGGGUGAGGGGUCCUUUUAUAGAAUAAAGACUCCUCACUUAUUACAUAUUUGCCCCUUCCUUUAUCACAUAAUUACAUUUAAGUCAUCAGAGUACUUGUAUGAGAUCUAAAUACGAGGCCUUAAAUAUGGUAUAAACAACACUAAUCUUUCUAAGUGCACUAGCAAUCAUUCCGGAUCUUCAUGAGGAAGAUCAACUUCUGUUUAAGUCCGUCCUAAAGUAGAUUAUUAGGAAAUUCUUUUUCCAGCCUAAGGACGUUCCAGCCAACACUAGUUCCCGAGUUUUCUUUUAGUGAUGUACUCGUCAUUUCGACGAGCAUAGGCACUGGUGUACAAGUUGUUAUACCUAUAGUCAAUAGAAAUCCCCGGGGUAGUAAGUAUUUUCUUUAGAAUUAAUGAAACCACCUCACAGGACCAGUUCCUUACUAAUAGUCCAAAACCAACUAUCCGAGCGGGCUAUAGCCUGUAAUUAGCCUAUGGUGGCGCUAUUAAUUGACGAUAUUGUCUGAUAUCUAGGGACUGUAAACCAGUAUUCAGGCUAUAUGAUUUCUGAUACGAGACACAUGCUAGUAUCCGGGAGUGAUACCCUUAUGCCAGGAAGCCGGUUUACAGUUUUAGGGUAACGAACAAUAUCAAAAUAUCGUAUAUGCAUUAAUUAACGACACAACUGAUAGACUGAUUAACAGUGACUACUUGAGCGGAAGAAACUAAAUCGUGGAAACUUAGGAGUAGACCUUGUAUUAAGACAAUAAACUCACGGUUAUGUUAACCAUAUUACCUAUUUAGGUAAUCAAAACCUCUUCGACUAGCCACCUACCGAUCACUUCCAUAGGUAGACAGUAGGAUCGAAAUUCAAAAUGAUAUUUCACUAUUAAAAUGUUUUGAGUGUUGAGAAAACUAUGAAGACCUUUUAGUUUGUGUCGUAGAGUUGGUUAGUAAUAUAGUACGUUUUGAGGAUGUAUACCAUCGGCGUCAAUUCUCAAAAUUCUACUUGGGAUGCCACCGAAUGCGAGAAGUAGAAUACACCAUUGAUCCACCUUGUUAACACCACAUUUAUUCUCCUUAUUUCUUAUCGAACAACUCUUAUAUCAGUUUUCCUUAUGACUUUUCAAACAAGUCCUACUUCAUUAAGAGAACUUAGUUACUAAAGCUUACCAAUUAGGAAUUUACCAACCAUGGACUAAACACUUUAUCUUGGGAACCUCAAACCUAUCCGCAAAGGCGAAAGGUCAAACCUUAGGGUCAUACCUAGAUUUUAACAACUUCCUCAAGUGACGAUUAAAAACUGUUGUCCCCUAUUUCGAGUUGAUGGCCUAGCCGACCAACCUUUGUAACUCGAGUUUUCUUCCGUAACCUGACAAAUUUAUAGUAGCUUUGUCGACGACUUACUUACCUACUCUAGUGGCAAAUCUAAUCUUUAGACAUCGACAGUCAGCUUUAUAUCAAAUUCUUUGACUGUAAACUUUGAUUAAAUUGGUACUCUUCUUGGGAGACGUGAUCUCAUUGGACGAGAUUAUUUUCUUUUCCCCAAAAAGGUAGUAGCGGAAGAAAGUUGAAAUUCUCACAAGGUGUUGUGAAAUUCGAGACAAUCUUUGGUCUUGUCGACCUUAUUAACAAAUUGUUAUCGAUUUUUUUUUUCCGACUAUAGUGUUUUUCCUCACUUGUCGACUGAGGAAAGUUAGUUUAGUUGUGAUGUUAGUUAUGAAUAAAGUUUCUAACAACCGAAUUCUUGUCUCAACCUACCUUUGUGUUACACCUUUCGAUGACAUUGAUCAUUUGGAUAUCCAUGAUGACGUGUUAUCUGGAUGUUUCGACUAUGCUAAGGCAGCAUGAUGGAGUAUCACUUAUAUUUCCCAACGGAUAGAACCGUUCGAAAUGAGCCACCUUAUUCAUGACUUAGAGUCAAUUGUUAUUAUCUUCAUUUGAGAUAAGCUAAAAUUUCUAAUAGCAACGAUGGAAGAACCAAAUCAACGCCUACGAUUGCACUAUCGUGUAUUACCUCGGUGGUACAAACGUACUUACUGAACACCUUUAGCUUGUCCUAUCUCACCUCAGUUGGAAUUCACAAGUAUUGUUUUGACGUUACUUGUGAGAUAUCACUAAAUUGUUUGGAUGGUUAUAACCAUUUCCUGUAUCUGUAUAAGGAUGGGAAAUAUCACCAUAAGCUUCCAAUGCGAGGUAUCUUGUACAUGUGGAGUUAUGAUGAUGUUUCAGUGACCAUCAACCCACACGACAAGUUAGCCCACUUUCCAUUGGUCCCGAAGGACUAUAUAUUAGACCACUCGAUAAAAUUCCUCAUUCUUGAAAUUAUCAAAUUUCUCGGGCGUUUAGACCAGCAUCUAUUCUGAUGGGGAUUCCAUAUUCACCUCUUUGUGCUAGAAGGUAUUCUAGUCAAUCUUGGGUCUGUGUCUACCCUACUACACUUUGUAUUAUUCUUGAAACAGACAAACCGUCUAAAAGAGUUGCUUGGACGUUGAAAUCUAGUUGUGAUCAUUAAUUUCUUAAUCACCCAACAAAUACUCUGCUAAACGAAUCUUAACCAUUGGUGAUCGAAUGUUCCAGAAACUACCAAGGUAGUGAGAUGUUAUAGAUUAAUCCCAGUUACCUUAUAUUCUAGAUUUGUUGGAAUUAUUUUGACUCUCAAACUCUUGAGUGUUCUUUUAGCCUCUCGACAUAAUUUUUUGCUAAAUUCGAAAGGAAUAUAAUAUGAAGCUGCUCGCUAAGGCUUCGUGGACUACAUGGUACGUUUAUCACUUUUGUAUCUCACGAUGCAUGGUUCACUUCCAAGCAUUGGGAAGUAUUCUGGAAGGCUAUGAGUACGAAGUUGUUACCCGGUACUACACUUUAUCCUUAGACUGAUGGUUAGUGUUAACAAACUACACAGAACUUCGUGUACGUGUUGUGUUUUAUUCGUUCUGCAUACUUGGUAAGGUUGUAAUAGACAUUUAUUUUUAUUAGGAUUGUGUGUAACUGCGGUUACACUUUUGAUUUAUGGGUAUGGCACAAUUUAAGACAUUGAAUGGAGACUUUAUGCACAAUGCAUAAUUGGCAAGUGAGUAUUGUGAACAGGUAUCUGAAUGUUUGAGAUUACGAUAUAGAAAAUUUUAUAUUAUCGACAAUGUUGCCCAAGAGGGUAGUACGAGAUGGCAGUUGAGGUGCUAAUUAGAUGAUUUAUGCGUAUUUCCCAAUGGGGGGCAUGAUGGUAAUAUGGCACCCUUGGGAAUUUGUUACUUACUAAUCGGGACAACAAUGAGUUGUUGGUAUUACGAGCUGCAGACCGUAAUAUUGAGAACUUAAUUGUUGAACUCGUUAAGCAAGUAAACAUCUAGGUUCGUCUACGUUUAGUCAUUUAUUUAUUGUUGGGCUUAACCCAAUGAUAUUAUACAUUUACCUUUGAAGUACAUGACACAAUGAGGGCGUAAGUGAAAUUUUUCUAUAUUCAGUUUUGAUCUCAGUACAACUAUUUUAAAUUGUAUGUUAUAAUAUAUACGUAUUUGACGAUAUGUUACUGUAUAUCUAUUUUUGUUAUGAUGUUUUCAUAAAGGAUUUUAUACUGUAGUAUUAUAUUUUAGUAUUGUGCUAAAGGAAAAGGAAAGUACGAGUUUGGAGGCAUUAAAGAGGAAUCACUGCACUCCGAUCGCGACAGGAUGACAUUCUCUUUUAUACAACCUCUCUAACUUGAUAUCUCCUUUACAUAAUUGUUUUUCUACUGUCUUUUCACUAUUCUUGUAUAACAAAUGAUUUUAAAUUUCGGGGAUGAAAUUUUUUUAAGGUAGGUAGAUUGUGACAACCUAUUCCUAAUUUUAAGUUUUAUAAAUUUUAAAAUAAUGAUUUUAUGAAAAUGCCCCUAGAGGCAAAGAUUUUAACUUUUGUUGACAAUCAGUUAGAGAGAUGUAAGACUCAUUCUUUUAGAGUAUCCUCGUAAUACUCAUCACUACUAGUGUAUAUGCGAAAGUCGUUCACGAGUCCGGAUUAUAACGGUAUAGUUACGGACAUUUGAAAUUGGUUAUUUAAAGUUUAGUUAUAAAUAAAUUGGCGGUAUAGUUACGGACGUGUGUUAGCAUAGUUUGAUGAGUGAUAGGUGCAGUCGUACAUGUCAUAUUAGGUGACUUCGACUGACAUGCUAGUAUAGAUUACUGAGCAAAUGAUCAUAUCUAUAUUACUGUUGAGCUAUUUUGUUGUGGCGUAUUUCUAGACUUACAGUUAGCAUGCAUUUGAUUUUCAUACUGAGACUUGGUAUGAUAUUUUGGAAACUAUACAUGUUUUACGGCGAGGGGUUAUAACGUUUUCAAAAAGGUUUUUAUAAAACCUUAUUUUCAAGCCCACUCAUCUUUGUUUUUCGCCCCUCCAGGUUCUAGUAGUAGAGUUUUCGUAUCGACAAGGAUUAUUGGCAAAUCUUAGUGUAAACGAUUACCAUCGAUGGUAUAAUUCUCACCCUAUUUUACUGUACUGUACUUAUGCUUUGUCAUCACGUGUGAAUUGGGUUCAUUCCCGCUCACCAGCGCACUCUUAUAUUUAGGCACUUUUAAGUUUAAAUUUAUUCACAUUUUUCACAUCAUUAUACUUUGUGACUUCGUCGCCUUUUAGGUGUUGGCCAGCAUAACUCGAUUCGGAGUCCUAGUGGACAUACCGAGUGUCGGACCCAUACUGCAGCUCUUUUCUUCUUAUCUAUCAACAACAAAAUAAUUUCAUAAUACUAAAGUUAAAUAAAAACUUUAUACAAAAUGCAAAAAUUUCAACGCAAACCUUCUCUAUCUGUUGCCUUUGAUGAACAUGCAUCUUUGUCAGCCAUCAUACCAACACUCAAAGAACAAACUGAUUAUAAUCGUCAGAAUUGCAAAGCACUUUCGAAACAAAUUGUGAAGAAUAAGGAUAGCAGAAGCGCAUAUUUAUAGGAAGGUUAAAGACUUUGCGCGAUGAAGGGUUUGUCGCACAAACACAUGCAGUAAAUACAAUAUUUAUUUCUCUGAUUCAGAUGCACCAAAUACGUUGAACAAUAACUUAUCACCUUUGCACGACGAAACCUUUGUCGUGUAAGAGUUUGCACAGCGACAUAUUUGUCGCGCAAAGGUUUUUGAGACGAACAUAUUGUAAUUAUAAAGUUCACGUAAACAUUAUCUAUGUUUACGUAAAUUUUAUAAUUACCAACAAAUUUUUAGCUAUAAUAUGUAUUCUAAAAAUAAUUACUAACUUAAAUAAAUUGAUAUUAUAUUCCAUUCAAUCAACACAUUAAAUAAUUAAUACCUUAAAUAAAUUGAUAUUAUAUUCCAUUCACUUAAUACACUAAAUCAUUAAUACCUUAAAUAAAUUAUAUUAUAUUCCAUUCAAUUAAUAGCUUAAAUAAAUUGAUAUUUUACUCCAUUCAAUUAUUUAAAUAACCAAACAUGAAUUAAAACAUAAUUAAAUCGAAAUACAUUAACUUAUAAAAAAUACCUUAAAUUUAAAUAUUGUCAAACAAAACAUAAAUUUAAAACUACUAUUUCGAUGGUCCUCCAUUCCGCUAGAAUCAUAUAUUGUCAAACAAAACAUAAAUUUAAAACUACUAUUUCGAUGGUCCUCCAUUCCGCUAGAAUCAUAACGCCACCUAUUGUUUGUUCGUAUCAUCAUCAAGAGUAUACUUACACUGUUACACAUAUAUGCAAAUAAUUAAUUCUAACAUAUAACACAAAAUUAAUUAUUGAUCUAUCAACAGUGUACUAACUAAUAAUGCAUCCAUCACCGCCUUCUUUGCAUUCUCCGGUACAUCUUUCCAAGAACGCCACUCCGCAAUAGGACAAUUGUUCCCCAUGGCUACAACAAUCGCAUGCGCGAAGUGAAAAUGAUGCAUCAAAUUAUUCGGGUCGGCGUCGGUCACAUUAUCAUCCUUGUUUUUAUCCUCCAUCUCAGCACGAACAUAAUUCUAAAGAAUAAGGAGAACAGAAUUGUGAAGAAAAAGGAGAGGAAAAGCGCAUAUAUAUAGGAAGGAUAAGGCCUUUGCGCGACGAAGGCUUUGUCGCGCAAAGACCUCACUAAACAGUUUCUGUUUCUGUUGAUUCACAUGCACUGAAUGCUCUGACUGAAAACUGAUUGUAACCUGUGCAACGAAGCCUUUGUCGAGCAAGUGUUCCUCGGUUUCCAAAGCGUUGAAUGUUCUGCCCAAGAAAAUGAACAAGCUUUGCGUGACGAAGCCUUUGUCGUGCAAAGAUAUAGUGGGAAAAUAUUCGUCGUGCGUUUGCUUUCCCGCAAAAAAAAAACUGCGUUUUUUUUGUUGGCUUUGCGCGACGAACAUGUUUAAUGUCGUCGUGCAAAAGGUUUUGCGCGACUAAGUACUCCGUCGCUCAAAGUUCACUACCCUUGUGCGACGAAGGUCUGUUCAUCAUUGCAUAAGGUCUCAUUGCGCGACGGAAUUUGCUUUGUCGCGCAAGUAGUUUUUUUGUACUAGUGACAGUAAAACAAAAAUUGAAAGCCUUACUUCUUCUGGCAUGGAUGUAAAAUGUUGAAGUCCGAAUUUACAGUAAUUGAUUAAGCCAGUUCAUUUCAGAGAACUAACGGUUAUGCUUGGUUGUCAAGAAAAUAAUCUGCGAGGUCGUGCUUGAUUGUCAAUAAAGAAACUGCCGGUAUUGUUAAUUUGUGAAUUGUAAGAAACCACAAAGAUUCACUUAAACCCUAAAAAAAUCUACUCUUUAAAAUACUAAAAAACUACACUUCCUUUUGACACUAGUUCAUGAAAAUAAAAUAUAUAAAUUUGUAAGAUAAGAAAGGUCUUCUUUAGGCCUUUGCCCUUUUUGGGGUCUGAUCUAGUUAACACAUUGUGAGAGCAUAUAAGAUAUGAUGAAUUCAAGCAUAAGAUAGGGUUAUCGCUUAAUGCUCACCAUGAUAAGCAUGUUUUUUAUUCAAGUAAUGUUAGGGAGACUAAAUUUUGGAAACUAAAGGACAUGUAAGUUGAUGAUUGAUUUAUUACUUAAACGUUAAUAGACGUGCUCAUUUUUAUUGGUGACACAUCAUUUAGUUUGCAAAUUUAGUCUCUCUAACAUUACUUUUUUUAUUCCAAAUGUUCUAACUGGUGCAACGAAUCGUCACUAGUUACUUGUUUGUAAAGUCAGUGACAUAAAAAAUGUAGAAGGAUGGAAACACAUACUAAUUAACAAACAAAACCCACCAUGAAGUUUGUUUUUUCUUGUAGUGAAUUAAACAAUUUUUAUUUAAACAAUACCUACGCCAAGUUUUUGAUUUGUUUCUCUUUCUGUUUUCAAUACGUGUUUUAAGUUUUUCUCAUAAUCAUAUGAUGGAUUACAAACAAUACUAUUUUGACGUCCUCUGGUUUCUUAGUUCAUGUAAGUCUUCUCCUAGACCUGCUACCCAAACAAGAACAAGGAAGAUAGGGCAUAGAAAGAAAUAUAUAUAUAUAUAUAUGACUAUUUUGAAAAAUUAGUACAAACUAGAAAUUCGCCAAAACCCACAACAUAGCCUAACUAAAAAUCUUACCGAUUAAAAGUUGCACAAAAAAAAAAAAACCCCCUAUCUCUCCCAUCAAACAAAAACUCCGAAAUCAAUUCAAUUGUUGAUAACAACCCAUAACAGAAUCUGAUUUAAAAUUGAACCUAGAAAAAUUAGAAGUUUCUAACAUUUAAAGUUGAACAAAACACAGUCCAUACACUUUGAAAAGAAAAAGUCUCAGAUGCGAGAUUCGAAGAACUCAUUAGAAAACUAUCCAGUUUGAGACUGAGCGACGCGAAGAGGGAAGAUAACAAGAGAGACCAAACGACUGGAAAAGUAGAGAACCAAAAAUAAUGGGGAAGCUAUUCGACCAAAAGGAGUGAAAAGCAACAAAAGCAUGAAGAGAACAAGGCGAUGAUAGACUCAUGGACAUCGAGGGCGUAAUUGUCCUUUCAAUGUAGAAAGGUUGAAUGAAAACCAGAGAAGGGAAAUUUUGGAAGGCAUUUUCGCCACUCUACUGUUAGUGAACAAUAAUAUUAGGCGAUGAUAGACUCAUGGACAUCGAGGGCCUAACUAUCCUUUCAAUGUAGAAAGGUUGAAAGAAAAGUAGAGAAGGGAAAUUUUGGAAGGCAUUUUGGCCACUCUACUGCUAAUGAACAGUAAUAUUUUGUUUGAGUUUUAGUAUAUAAAUAAUUUCUGAAAACAUAUGAACACAUCCAACUCAACACACGAGCACAGAUUAAAUUCCACAAUCGAGAUCACAUGGUCCAACGACUCGUAGGUCAAUGAUAAAAAAUGUUACUUGUCAAUGAUCAAACCAAUCUGGUUCAUAUAACGUGACAUUGACAACAAACCACAUUCCAUAUAAAAUUAUUGUGUCAUAGAAUAAUUAGAAUUUCUAGUAAUCACAUUAAUUAGUAAAGUAAUAUAGACCAUCGUACAAGACCGCUUGGAAGCAUCCAUCAACAAAGCACAUCAAACCAAAAAAGGUGAACAAAUAUUGCUGGUCAUGCAACAUCCAAGAGGACACGUCACACAUGAAUGUGAAAGGUGCAUAUGAGCUAAAAGGAUAUACACUUGGCGCACAUAAUUCAUAACUACCGUCAAGUUUCUUGAUUUUUAACAUUUGCUAUAUAAAAAAAAAUUUCAUCUUAGAGUGGUACCCAAAGUCAAAAUUUUGGGAUAGUUUCAUACAUCUGUUAAGAUUGUUGUUAAGUCAACCAUUAAUUGAUGACGUGGCGUCCAUGUGGACAAUGAAUAGGCACCAUGUGUCAAUUUGGAUCCAUUGGAAUAUUAAAAAAAGAAUUAAAAAAAUUAACAAUAAAAAAAAUUAAAAAUAAACCUAAAUUUACCCCUCCCCUUUUCUCUCCACAACCAACAACUCCUCCACCAUCUUAACCCUCCCCCAUUGCCCAAACCCUUCUUCCUCCUCCAUUAUUGUCGACUCAGUUUCCCUCCUCCGUCCCUUCCCCCAUUUGCACUCAUCCUUCACGAACACCCUUAGCCCCAUAUCCGCCAUGAACACCCUCGGCUGGCACGCUAGAAACACGCACAGCUCGACACGUGCACCGACGCUUGUAGAUCCGACAUGUGCAUCGCGUCACCAUCACGACUGCAGGUAGAAGAGGGUUGUGGUUAACCUGCACGCUAGAUCCAAGAGCGCAGAAAAAUUGAUGGGGCCCACUUGGAAAUGAACAGAGCUAUCGUGAGCAGCAGAAAUAGGGGGUUUGGCCCUUGGGUCUGCGUCUGGGUUGCGUUGCAGAGAGAAAGGGAGUGGGUCGUUGUUCGAUUGUGUGAUUUUUGUACUGUGAUUCAAUGGAUCUAAGAAAGAUUUCUGGAAUAGGGAUUGAAUAAUUUCAGAGAGCUUCAGAGUAAUGGAAGCCUCACACUCAUUCUCAUUGAAAUUGCUCACACUCUCUCUUACAUAGCAAAACGAAUAUUACCGUUUCACUGAGGAGGGAAUAUUGCCUUUCUUUCUCCUCUAACAGAAUGAAAACAAUCUUAGCCAUUAAUGUUAUUUAUCCCAUGAGAUAGUUACAUGUGUCACUCAACACCACUUACUUUAACUUAAUCUAAAGCAUCCAUUUGGAAUGUAAUCCAAGGGCUCUAAUUAAAACAAGUAAAAGAUAAACUUAUUUAAGCUAAAAUCACUUAAAUGCUAACACUCCCUUGUAAGUGUUUAGCUGAAAUCACUCCCAAAGCUUUCCUCAAGUACUCAAAUCGAUCACUUGCCAAUGCUUUUGUAAAUAUAUCAGCAACUUGUUCCUUAGUUUUGCAAUAGAUCAGGUCAACUUCACCAUUCUGCAGUGCAUCUACAAUGAAAUGGAACCUUCUGUUUAUGUGCCUUGUCUUGUGGUGUGCUAUUGGAUUCUUUGAAAUUGCAAUGGCAGAUGUGUUGUCACAUAGGAUCUGAGUAGGCUCUACUUGUUCCUCUCUAAAAUCUGAUAUAACAAACCUUAACCAGAUGGCUUGAGCAGGUACUUUUGUAGCACUGACAUACUCAGCCUCUACAGUGGACAAUGCUACACUGCUUUGUUUGAUUGAACCCCAGGAAAAUGCUCCAGAACCAAAACUAAAAGCAUAUCUAGAAGUGCUUUUCAUGUCAUCCUCAUUCCCUGCCAAGUCACUAUCACAGUAGCCAAUAAGCACAUCAUCUUUGCCUUUCUCAUAUGCAAUCCAAUAGUCCAGUGAUCCUUGGAUAUAUCUCAGUACCCUAUUUGCAGUUCCCAUGUGUUUUCCUAGUUAGAUUGUGCAUGAAUCAAGCUAGCAAACUUACAACAAACAUGAUAUCAGGUCUUGUAGCUAUUAGGUAUAACAAGCUACCAACCAUUUGCCUAUAAAGACUUUCAUCAGCCAUUUCACUCCUAUCUUUUUUGCUAAGUUUUUCAUUUGCUGCAAGUGGAGUUACAACAGGUUUGCAAUCCUUCAAUCCAAACUUCUCUAAUAAGGUCUUUGCAUAUUUCUUUUGAUGCAGAAAAAUGCAUCAUUCUGUUUGAAUCACUUCAAUCCCCAAGAAAUGAUGCAAUAGACCAAGAUCAGACAUUUCAUAUUUUCUCAUCAUAUCUGCUUUAAAAUUAUCCAUCAAUGCACUUGAACUUCCAGUAUAUAUAAUGUCAUCCACAUACAAGGAUACAAUGAGAAUUCCUGCCUUAGUUGCCUUGAUGUAAAGAGUUGGCUAACUUGGACUUUUAUGAAAACCAUAAUUGCAUAAAUAAGAGUCAAUCUCUUUGUACCAGACCUUUAGUGCCUGUUUUAAACCAUACAAGGCCUUCUUGAGCUUGUAAACCUUGUCAUCCUUGCCUUCAAUUACAAAACCAAGUGGCUGGUCUACAUAUACUUCUUCAAUAAGAACCCCAUUCAAGAAUGCAAAUUUCACAUCAAGUUGGAACAACUUCCAUCCUUUCUGUGCAGGAAGCCCAAUUAGAGUCCUAAUAGUGUCAAGUCUUGCCAUAUGGGCAAAUGUCUCAUUGAAAUCGACCCCAGGCUUUUGAGAGUAUCCCUUAGCAACUAACCUUGCCUUAUUCUUCUAUAUAGACUCAUCUAGGUUCAAUUUUGUUUUGUAGAUCCACUUGACACCAACUACUAGUUUAUCAAAUAGUCUAUUAAUAAGUUCCCAAGUGCAGUUCUUUUUUAUCAUGCCAAUUUCGGCCUUCAUUGCCUUCUGCCAUGACUCAUCUUAUGCUGCCUCCUCAAAGUUCUCAGACUCAACAAUGCACAAGUUGCAUUUCGCAUAUACUUCUGUCAAGCUUUUGAACUUCAAAAGAGUGUGAUCAUAGUCUUAGGGACUUGUGUUGUUCUGCAUUGGUAUCAGCCUUGAGCCAUUUUCAAUUGACUUAUAGGUUUUAGAUGAUGAUAUCAAGGACUCAUCAUUUACAACACCUUUGUCACUUGAACUCCCUUCUUCCCUUUGCUCACACAUUCUCCCUUCAGGCAUUAGUACACUAAUAGUCUUAUCAGAUUGAGAUUUGGAUGUGACACAAUUAUCUUCUUUGAGAAAAUGUCAUAAAGUCUAUAACCUUUCUCACAUGUGCCAUAUCCCAAGAAAAUGCAUUUAGUACUGGUUCCAUCUAGCUUAUGUCUAAGUUGACUUGGAAUGUGGGCAUAACAAAUAGAAGCGGAGAUCUUUAAGUGUUUGAUUCCUGGCUUCCUCCCACUAUAUGCCUCAAAUGAGGUUUUCUUAUCAAGAGACUUAGUGGUACAUCUAUUGAAGAUGUACACUGCUGUAUUAACAGCUUCUACCUAGAAAUCAAAUGGAAUACCCUUCUAAAUCAUCAUACACUUUGCCAUUUCCACUAUGGUUCUAUUCUUCCUCUCAGCUACACCAUUUUGCUAAGGUGUGUAUGCCACUGUUAGUUAUCUUUCCAUGCCCAUUUCUUCACAGAAUUCUCUGAACUCAACAGAUGUAUACUUUCAUCCUCUGUCACUCCUCAACUUCUUCAAUUGGAAACCACUUUGUAAUUCAACUAUGGACUUAAAUUUCUUGAAUAUACUAAACACCUCCGACUUGUUUCUUAAGAAGUACACCCAACACAUUCGAGUGCAGUCAUUUAUAAAGGUAAGAAAAUACCUAUUUCCAGCCUUUGUAAGAGUUUGCAUAGGUCCACAGAUGUCAGAGCGUAUGAGUUCUAGAGGUACAGAAGCCCUCCAUGAUGCUUCAUUUGGAAAUGCAUCUCUGCAAUGCUUCCCAAGAGCACAUCCUUCACAUAUUUCAUCUGUCAUUUUGAGAUUAGGCAAUCCUAACACCAUAUCAUGUUCUUCGAGUUGCUUCAAACUGCCUAAAUUCAAAUAUCCUAGUCUCUUAUGCCAGAUUGUAGAAGACUGACACACACUAGCCUUUAGAGCAAUCUACAUCUCAGGUUGAAGUUUCAAGGGAAAACUCUACCAAAUUAGACAUAGAACUAUCAUCAUAUAUUUCUGUAGUUGUACCACCAAAUACAAGAAAGAAACCGUGUUCCAUCAUAUGCCCUACAUUGGGCAAGUUUUCUUUUAAACCUGGAACUAACAUCACUUCCUUGAUAUACCUUAUUCCCAUUUUGGUGUCAACUACCAAAUUUCCUUUCCCUGUGACCUCAAUAAGCUGACCAGUGCCCAUUUCAACCUUAGCAGUCAUAGUUCUAUCAAUGUCAACCAACAAAUCCUCCAUUCCAGUCAUAUGGUUACUACAUCCACUGUCUACAUACCAUGUGUCUUCACAUUUCUUCACUAUGGCAUUAUUGCAGACAUAAAACAUUGUAGGAAUGUCAUUGACUUGAUUAACAAAGUUUACAUGUUGGUUAGCCUUCUCCUUCUUCCCACGACAAUCUUUUGCAAUAUACCCCAACUUAUGGCAAUUAUGGCACCUAGGCUUAUCCUUGAACCAACAUUCACCAAAAUGCAGUUUAUCACAGUGUAUACAAACAUUCUUAGCUUCUUCAGAGAUACCUGCAGCUUUUCCAGCUUGAUUUACAGGUCUAUUAUCCCCUUUCUUCCACUUUGACUUCCAAUUCUUCUGUGGUUUGAACCCUUGAUUCCCAUUGUACUUAUUUUGUUUUGAAGCAAUAUUGAGACUAACAAAUGCCUUCUCAGUGUGAAUCUCAUCAUGCCUAUCAAUUCUUUAUUCACAUCCCUUUAGAAUAGCAACAACAUCUUGAACAUCAACAGUGUCUAGAUCUUUAGUAUUUUCAAUCACAGAAACAAUGCUAUCAUACGAUCUAGGGAAGCUUAUCUGCAAAUUUUGAACAACUCUUUGAUUGCUAAUAUCUUCACCAUAACUCCUCAUUUGACUAAGCAAAUCAAAUAGCCUAACUAGAUAUGCAGAGAAAGCUUCAUUUUCACCCAUUCUAGUAUAUUCAAAAUCACGGCAAAAGCCUUGGAGUUUCACAGCUCUUACCUGUUUAUCUCCUACAAAUUCUUGCUUUAGGACAUUCCAACCUAUAUAUGCAGUCUUUUGGAUGGCGAUUCUUGGAAAGAUCUAAUCAGAAACCGCCCCUUGGAUGAUUCCAAGUGCCUUUACAUCUUUGACUAUGUUUUCCCUCACCAGCUUGCUCUCAGCUUUAGUGAGUUCUUCAUCCUUCUUCGCCAGAGUAGCGAAACCCUUCUCAACAACAUCCCAGAGUUCAUAAGAUCGGAAUAUGGUCUUCAUCUGAAUAUGCCAGAAAUCGAAGUUGUCUCCAUUGAAUACCGGUGCUCGAAGAUCAGCACCAUUUGACCCAGCCAUAUGAGACUCAAUUCAAGAUCACUGAGAUUUCUUCUCUGAAUUUUCCUUUAGCAACAAAGUUCGACGAUUAGUUCGAGUUCUUCGCUGUGCUCUUCACAGAUUCACGCCUAGUUGCAGAUGAUGCAACCUGGCUCUGAGGCCAUGUUCAAUUGUGUGAUUUUUGUACUGUGAUUCAAUCGAUCUAAGAAAGAUUUUUGGAAUAGGGAUUGAAUAAUUUCAGAAAGCUUCAGAGUAAUGAAAGCCUCAGACUCAUUCUCAUUGAAAUUGCUCACUCUCUCUCUUACAUAGCAAAACGAAUAUUACCGUUUCACUGAGGAGGGAAUAUUGCCUUUCUCUCUCCUCUAACAGAAUGAAAACAAUCUCAGCCAUUCAUGUUAUCUAUCCUAUGAGAUAGUUACAUGUGUCACUCAACACCACUUACUUUAACUUAAUCUAGAGCAUCCAUUUGGAAUGUAAUCCAAGGGCUCUGAUUAAAACAAGUAAAAUAUAAACUUAUUUCAGUUAAAAUCACUUAAAUGCUAACAGUCACGGACUGCAGGGACGUGAUCAGUAGACGGGGGUUCGGCCCUUGUGUCUGGGUUUGGAUUGCAUAGCAGAAAGAAAGGGGUUUAGGAAAGGAGUGAGCAAGUGGUGGUUAUGGAGAGAAGGGGCAAAGAGAGAGGGAAUCGAAGAAGAAGAAUGAGGGUUAAGAUGGGAUUGGGGUUAUUUUUAAAAAAAAUUAAUUAAUUUUUUUAAAUUUUUUUAAUAUUCAUUUGGGUCCUAUAUUGACACAGGACAUCUAGUCAUUGUUCAUGUGGAUGCCACAUCACUAGUUAACGGCUGACUUAACAGCAACCUUAACGGAUGUAUGAAACUAUCCCAAAAUUUUGACUUCAGGUAACAAUCUGGGAUGAAAAAAACUUCAUGUACCAAAUGUUGAAAACCAAGAAACUUAAGGAUAGUAAACUGAUAUUAACCCUUCAUAAAAUAUAUUCGACCAAGAUGAGAGAAUACAUAAAAUAUAUGCCAACAUGUAUAUAUUAAUAUUAUUGCCAAAUGAUUUCAAAUAAAAUUAUUAUACUGUAAUAAACAAAGAUAAUAAGAGUUAUUACUCUUUACAUUACUAUACCAAGUUAUUUUCUUUAUUUUUUAUCAUUCAAUUAAGGAAAAAGCUAAGGACAUCAUUUUUUUAAUCAUAUUUUAUAGAUCACAUGAUGUGACAGUUGAUGAUUAGAUUGUUUAUGUAAUGAUUUAAAGAAUGAAUUUAACCAUUAAUCGCCACAUUGUGUAAUUUACCAAAUAUAUUUCAAGUAGAUGAUCAUUCUAACAUCACUUACUAAACUAAAUCAGUCAUAUGUACGAAUGAAUCUGUGUAAUAGUAACAAGUAUUAUCUUCAUGAUUAAUUGUUAUCUUGUCUAAAUCAAACAAAUGUUUUUUUAAAGAUGAUCUUCAUAUGAGAUAAAAAUAAUAAAAUAUUCUGAUUAUGACGUUUGUACAAUAAAACGAUAAAUUUACGUCAUGUAACAUAUACAAUUGUAUGCACUUUAUUAAAUAAAUACAUAGCGAUUGGGUUUGCCAAGAUGGAAUCCAGUCCUUUAAUUGUUCACUAGUAAAGAGAGAAAUAUUAAAAGUUCCACAAGGAUCCCACAGUGUGUUGUCAAUAAAAGUCCAAAAAAAAGAAAAAAAAAUAAAAUCAUUAAUCUGAAAUAUCAUUAAUAAACCCUCCCUCAAAAGGAGGAAAGGAUUACCUGAUUCACAUCUUACUCGAACACAGAGCUAAAUCCCUUCCCACAUUCUCAUCCAUCUUCCUGAGAUUUUGACCUUUUUUCUGAGGGGUGGGCUCUGUCCAAGUUCAACAAGAGCGGUGAGUAGAGUGAUGGAAGCAUAUUGUUUGAAGGACAAGGAGAAGGACAAUGACGACGAGAAGCCAGAUUACAUGGUGAGUGGGAGCAACAGAAUCAGAGGAAAAGUUGUGUUGAUGAAGAAGAAUGUGUUGGACUUCAACGACCUCAAAGCUUCGUUCGUUGAUAGAAUCCAUGAGCUCUUGGGCAAAGGUGUUUCCAUGCAGCUCAUUAGUGCCACUCAUCCUGAAGCAGCAGGUCAGUCUCUCUUCCUUCAGUUGAAUCGAAUUAACAAUUCACUCACUAAAAUGCUUUGAGUUUUUCACACGUAAGCUCUAAAUAAACUAACUUUACAUUUGAGAAAAAUAUAUCAUAUCAAAUCUGAUACUUUAGAAGAAAAAAUGUUCCACUUACUUGGUAAUUGGGGAGGACAACAUAAGAAUUUCACAACUGCGAAUCAUUUAUUGCAUGACAAGUAGAUAAAUUACGAAUGAGAGGUUUUCCUCCCCAAUUGAUCUCUUCAUGUGCUUUUGUAUAAAACUUAUAGUUGUGAAGGUGUUUUCUAGUUUACUAAAAUUCUUUUGUUCAAGUUUUGAACGCAUGGUUUUACUUUUAAUGGGAACCCGCAUAACUGGAUACAAAGUCAAAAGCUACAUAUGUUGAAGAAGAUAAUUACUAUAUUAAGAUUUUAACAGAGCUGAAAUUGACAUAAAUUCUUAUUCAUGUGCAGCAAAUGGAUUGAAACCGAGAGGGAAGCUUGGAAAGGUUGCUUACCUGGAGAAAUGGGCUACAACCAUUACAUCGUUGUCGGCCGGUGAAACUAGUUUUACCAUUUCCUUGGAUUGGGAUGAGUCCCAUGGAGCUCCCGGCGCUUUGCUGAUCAGAAACCAUCACCAUAGCCAAUUCUACCUCAAGACAAUAACAUUAGAAGAUGUUCCCGAGCACGGUCAACUCCAUUUUGUCUGCAAUUCCUGGGUAUACCCAGCACAUCGUUACAAGUACAAUCGGAUAUUUUUCCCCAACAAGGUAUACAUUCAGUCUGGUUAAUUAACAUAAUGUCAAAAUAUAACAUGCAAUAGGGAGACACAUUUUUCACUUGUAUUUUUUCUAUUUAAGAAUCGAAGAAAUCUGGAUCUUAUCUUAUCCGACCCUUGUGGUCAGAUUUGUCAUGAUUGAUCCUUUUAAUCUCUAUAGUAUGAAGCUUUACUGACCAAAAGUGGAAAUAUCACAAUCCGCUACUUUUCCAGCUGGAUUAGCACUUGCACAUAAAAAUACCAUGUUUUAUUAAUUAUAAAAUUUCAUAUCUGAUUUCAUUGAACAAUUUUCAGAAGUUACAACAAAUUGGUAUUUUUUCUAAAUUAUUGAAAGAUAAAUGAUUUUCGCACACUUUUAUUUAGUUUUACUUUCUACUCCUAUGAUCCACCAAAUGUAUAAGAGUGAAAGAAAAUAAAAGAGCCGUGCUGAAUCACUUCCCUGCUUAAAUCUGUGACCAAUGACACGCAGAAAUGCAACUUAAAAGCUAUAAUUUUAGCUAAGGUACUUAUGAGAUUGCACUGACUGAAAACUUCAUGUUUUUGUUCAGGCCUACCUGCCAUCUCAAACACCUGAGCUACUACACCCUUACAGGGAAGAAGAACUCGCCAAUCUCCGAGGGAGUGGAUCAGGCGAGCUAAAGGAGUGGGACAGGGUCUAUGACUAUGCUUACUACAAUGAUUUAGGGAGUCCUGACAAGGGUCCAAAAUAUGCCCGCCCUAUACUUGGUGGGUCGUACGAGUAUCCAUAUCCAAGAAGAGGAAGAACUGGUCGAAAAACAACUAAAACCGGUCAGCAACCUGAAUAGUUCAUUUUGCUAAUUAAGUCCUGACUAAGUUAAGAUAUGGCGUAGAACACGAACGACAUGAAGAAUUCUUACGGUUCUAUGACCAAUUUUCUUUCAUGCUUCGUACAGACCCCAAUUCCGAGAGCAGACUGCCGCUUCUAAGUCUAGACAUUUAUGUUCCAAGAGAUGAGCGGUUUGGCCACGUGAAGUUUUCCGAUUUUCUUGCUUAUGGCCUGAAAUCCCUAGUUCAAAUAUUGCUUCCAGAACUCAAGUCUUUGUGUGAUAAAACUAUCAAUGAGUUUGACACCUUUGACGACGUAGUUAAUCUCUACGAGGGAGGUAUCAAGUUACCAAAUGGGCCUACACUGAAGAAAAUAAGGGAGCGCAUCCCUUGGGAGCUGCUUAAGGAACUGAUUCGCUCAGAUGGCGAGCGAUUUCUCAAGUUUCCAAUGCCUGAUGUGAUUAAAAGUACAUACGUCUUUCCCCAAUGACUGGUAUUAGAUAUGCUAAAUUCCUUGAAUUUUGAACAUACUAUCAUACUAAAUUGCAACGAUUUCUUGAUAUAAUGCAGAAGAUAGGUCUGCAUGGAGGACAGAUAAAGAAUUUGGACGAGAAAUGCUAGCAGGAGUGAACCCUGUUAACAUCACCCGCCUCAAAGUAAAAUACAAGUUUCCCUGAUUCAUUUGACUAUUAUAGUGAUAAGGAUACGUUCCAAGUUUGUUCAAAUAACCAUCGAAAUUCUAACUACAGGAGUUUCCCCCAGUCAGUAAGCUAGACCCUAAAGUAUAUGGGAAUCAGAACAGUUCGAUACGAGAAGAGUACAUAAAAGGCAACAUGAAUGGCCUCACUGUUGAAGAGGUACUGCUGAUGCUUCAUUUGUCUCCAAUAUAUUAAUCCAAUGUUUUUUUUAAAUGUAUCUACUGAAAUUAUCAUUUUUGUCCCUUUUUGCACAGGCAACUGAAAAGAACAGGCUAUUCAUAUUAGAUCAUCAUGAUGCAUUAAUGUUAUACCUGAGGCAAAUAAACUCAACGGACACAAAGACGUAUGCCACAAGAACUCUCCUCUUGCUGCAAGAAGACGGGACGUUGAAGCCUUUGGCAAUUGAGCUAAGCUUACCACAUCCACAAGGGGACCGUCAUGGGGCUGUCAGCAAAGUUUUCACUCCACCAGGACAAGGCAAUGAACGCAUCGAGGAGUCGGUGUGGCAGCUUGCCAAAGCUUAUGCUGCUGUAAACGAUUCUGGCUAUCAUCAGCUUAUCAGCCACUGGUAAGAUGCCUAACAUACAAAGUGCUGUAUUGGAGCAACAGGUAGCGGCUUGGGUUCUAGUUUACACGCUUAUAAAUUUUAUUUGCAGGUUAAACACACAUGCUGUGAUAGAGCCAUUUGUGAUCACAACAAAUAGACAGUUGAGUGUACUUCACCCGAUACAUAAGCUUUUGCAUCCGCACUUCCGGGACACAAUGAACAUAAAUGCCCUGGCCAGGCAAAUCCUCAUCAAUGCCGGUGGGGUGCUUGAGAAAACAGUCUUCCCAGGUCGAUUCUCCAUGGAAAUGUCGGCUGUUAUUUAUAAGAGCUGGGUAUUUACCGAGCAGGCAUUACCUGCUGACUUGCUCAAGAGGUAAGCCAGAAAGCCCAAAUUGAAAAUAAUAAUGUUUAAAUUUCCAUCAAACUGAAUGUCAUUUUGCUUCUGUUCGAUUUCAGAGGAAUGGCAGUUCCAGAUACGACUUGUCCUCAUGGCCUGAGACUUCUGAUUGAAGACUACCCGUUUGCUGUUGAUGGGCUAGAAAUUUGGUCGGCGAUUGAAACUUGGGUUAAUGAAUACUGCUCUUUGUACUACCAAUCGGACGAUGUGGUCCAAGGUGAUUCUGAACUCCAGAACUGGUGGACAGAGCUCCGCAAUAUAGGCCACGGUGACAAGAAGAAUGAACCAUGGUGGCCUAAGAUGCAAACAAGAGCUGAACUUAUCGAAUCAUGUACCAUAAUCAUAUGGGUGGCUUCUGCCCUCCAUGCAGCAGUCAAUUUCGGGCAAUACUCUUACGCUGGCUACCUCCCUAACCGCCCAACUGUAAGCCGACGUUUCAUGCCUGAGCCAGGCACUGCUGAAUAUUAUGAGCUUGUGUCCUCCCCUGACACAGCUUUCCUUAAAACAAUUACAGCUCAGUUCCAAACUCUCCUUGGUGUAUCUCUGAUAGAGAUUUUAUCACGACAUUCGACUGAUGAGGUUUAUCUAGGGCAAAACGAUACUCCUGAGUGGACUUCAGAUGCUGAAGCACUAGCAGCAUUUGCAAGAUUCGGAGAGAAGCUAAUGGACAUCGAAAAGAGAAUCGAUGCAAGGAACAAGGAUAAUAGAUUGAAGAACAGAGUUGGGCCUGUAGACGUGCCUUAUACCUUGCUUCACCCUAACACAUCUGACAAGAGUAGAGAGGGUGGACUGACUGGAAAAGGAAUUCCCAACAGUGUCUCAAUCUGAACCCUUUUGGUCUGUAAACUAGAUGAAUGUUUUUUAAGUAAUUAUAGUGUGACAUCGGACAACAGGAGUGAAAGACUACCAAAUAGGAUGUUUGUAAUUCUCAUAUUCUUUUCCAUGAUCGUGUUAGAAUAUAGGAACUGUUAUUUGAUUCUUGUUAGGAGGUUAAAACAGAAGGAAAUCGAAGAGAAGAAAAAGAAGAUGAUUUCACAGAUUUCGGAAUUGCAGGAAUGUGCAAAGAAUAUGACUCUGCACUAUUUCCUUCAUUCAGUGUGUAUAUGAGUGAGCCAAUCAGAUAGUACACUACACAUCACAUUUCUUAGGAGUAAAGAAAGAAAUUCGCCAAUUUACAAUUUAACACUCCCCUUUAAAUUGUGAACUGAUUUCACUCCAAGUAACUCUCUGAGCUUGUUGAACUGAUCUCUUGCCAGUGCCUCGGUGAAUAUGUCUGGUAGCUGCUCCUUUGUCAGACAGUAAAUCAAGUCAAUUAUUCCUUUAUGCAGUACUUCGUAUUAAAUGCUACCUUCGGUUAAUAUGCUUGGUUUUUCCGGUGAAAUAUGGGAUUCUUGGUGAUGACAAUUGCGGAAGUAUUGUCAUAAUUCAAAGGAGUUACCUCAGUUUGAAGUUCACCAAAAUGCUCCAAAACAAACCUAAGCCUAGGUAUCUUUUUUCAAGUAUAAAAAUAUGUAAGUUGUAGGCUCAACUCAAGUGAUAACAGUUAAUCUCUGCACUUGGUUUCAUUUUCCCCCAAUGCUGCUGGUUUGAUUGUAGGAGAAAUUUUUAGUUAUGACGGAAACAUAAGUGGUACACCACGUGUUUUAAUAGGAGUGGUGGGAAAUUUUAUUGUUUAAGUUAUUAACUUUUUAACACACAUAUCUCAUCAUUUAUAUAAUGACACGUGGUGUACCACCCCGUGUACCGGUCACACUGAAAAAUCUCUAUGAUUGUAGAACGUAAUUGAAACUUGGUUGGAUGAGACAGCCUUUCAUCUAUGUUAAACCGAUCACGCUAGCAACAUGGGUUGGCACAAAACUGCGUUACAUGAGACAUUUUUUUUCUUUCUUUUUUAGCUUAAAACCUUUACUUAAGGCGUCUCUAACAUUAUAAAAUUCAAGUUUCUUACCAAAGUAGGCAAGGGGGACAAGCAGAGAGAAGGGGCUAGAUGGAGAUUGGCCCUCGAGUCCAAAGACAGAUGAAGAGUUUGAUUGCCUGUGUAAAGAUUAAGCACCACCUCGAAGGGUUAACAUGAAAGCGAUCAUGUUAAAUUAUAUUUAUUCCAUCAACUAGCUAUUGGUCUAAUAUAUUUUUUGCUUCCAAUAUUCAAAUAGAUUCAGACCAAAAAAAAUCCGAAUGGAUAUUUUUUUCCCACAUAAUGGUAAAAAUAAAGUAGAAAAAGGGCUUUCCCCUUUCUCUAUUUCUUCUCACCAAACACUAAAUCUACAAACUUCAUAGUCACAGGCCCCUUGCUCUUGCUUGGGGCUUAUGGAAACCCCACCUUUAUCUUCUCAUGGAUUGUUGCAUAUUUUACGCCUUAGUAUUUCCGUCAAGUGCCACCUUAGUAAGAUUAUUUAUGAGUCUUUCUUAAUGAGUAUUUUAAUUUAUGUUGGUUUGUUAUUGGCUCCUCUUGGGUCUAUUUUGUUGGAAUCGGUAUCUUUGAGAUGGUGUUGUGCACAAACUUUUUAUGUUGGUAUGAACACUAGUUGGUUCGUUGUUAGUUCCUCAUUGGAGUUGACGCUGUUCAUUGUCAAAGAGUGUCCAUAUGUUUCUUAUAUUCAAGAUUUUGUGCGCAGAAGUUCUCAUAUGCUAAUUCGCAAAGUGUUUGACCUUUUCGUUAGGAAUGGAGUUUCUUUGGCCUUGAAGUGCCAUCUCAGUCAUCUGAGUUUGAGUGUGGAUGAUUUCAAGACUUGGAUGCAUUCAGCUGCUUAGUCCCAAUCCUAUCUCGCUCUCAAAUCCACUAGUACAACGACAACUAGCUAGUUUGGCCAAGUUGGCAUUUUAGGUUGUGUUCAAGUUUUUUUGAAUUGAGAAUUUCCUGAAUGUUAUCUCGAAUAUCCUCUUUGGUAUUUGUACCAAUUCUUAAUAUAAUAACAAAACCACUAUUGUUUCAUCUUAAAAUCACUAUAAUGUUACCGCUAUCAUUUCGUCUCAAAAUCAGAAGAAAAAAAAAAACGAUACAAAAACGCAAUAUUUAGCCCCGUUUGGUAUUGUUUUUUUCACCAUAAACUGCUUCACUUUAAAGUUAAGCAGUAAAAACAUGUUUAGUAAAAGUAGUAUCCUGUUUAUUUAAACAAUAAUGGCUUACAGACAAUAACUUUUAAAAGCAGCAUGUAGGUUGCUUUUAAAAACUACUUUAAUAAAAAGUGGACUUGAGCCUUUAAUAAAUAUCUUCAAUUGUUGUAAUACCUUCAUUAUUUAUUUUUAUUUUUAAAAUAACAUUAUUUAGCCUUCCACACAUAUUUUAUCCUUUAAAAAAUAAAGUGACCACUAAAAGAACUUAAGCUAGGGUUGUAGAGACUGAUUGCAUAAGCUCAACUCAGAUAAUGAUGAGUGAGGUUUUGACAUCAUUAUAUAGAGAUUACAAGAUAUGUUUGUUACAAAAUAAAUGUAUGGCAAAUUACAAGAGAAUUCAAAUUACAAAUAUAAAUUGAUAGAGUCUAAGAAUAGAUAGGACUACGUUGGUUCUCUAUCCGGUGAAGAGUCCUUGAGUUAUCCAAACUAUGACUUUCGCUUGGUGAGUGGGAAUCAUGUAUUCAAACUGCAGGCGUGUGGAUUGCUGACUUAUGCAACCAUUUGGCUUCAGAUUGCUGACUUGGAUUACAUGUAGGAUUAAUAAGUUUAUCAGUUACGACCUACUAUUACAAAACUAAUAACCUUACACCAUCAACGCCGUUACAACCAUCAUUGUUGCCACCACCACAACCACCACCACCAUACCAUCAUUGUCAUCACCAUCAUUACCGCCACCACUGCCACCACAACCACCACCACCAACGCUCCCACUGCCUCUAACACCAUUGAUACCUCUACACACCCCAACCACCACAUCCCACUACUAGCGCCACCACCAUAUCGCCACCAUAACCACAAUCGCCACCACUGCCACUACAACCACAACUGCCACCACCGGCGCUACCACCGCCUCUAGCACCAUUGUUACCUCUGUACCCCAACCACCACAUCUCACUAUUAACACCAUCACCAUACCCCCACCAUUGCUACUAUCACCACCAUUACUACCAUUGUCCCCGUCACUGUUGUCGUCUUCCCAGCUCCUACUACUAUGUCCAUUUUAUUAUUGUACACAAUUAUAUUACUUUUACACUAAAAUUUACCAAAAGCUUUUACACUGCUUUUCUUACCACAACAAUUUUAAAAUACGUUUAAUCAAAAUCUACUUUAUUUUACAGCUGAUUAUUCUUAAACACAUUAAAAGCAAAUUUUUAAAAGGCACCGCAAUCCCAAACUGCCCUUAGUUUCUCCAUAUAGAUUUACAAGUUGACCAGAACUCAUUUACAUAUGCAAAGAAGAAACAAAAGCAAAGAUGAGCCCUGAGUCACAGGUAGGGCAACGUAUCAGAAUCAUGUUCUUAUUGGUCGAUCCCAUAUCACCUUAUCCAAACCCAAAUCCUCACCACCCACCUCAUAUCCUUACAAACUCCCAAUCAAAAUCUCCAUAACCCCAUAACACCCACACCACCCCCCCCCCCCCAAAAAAAAUUAUACUACCACACAACACAAACCAACCACAACUCUCUCUCUCUCUCUUUCCUCUCUCUAGUUCCUCAUGGCCAUGGCAACACAAGCCAGCCUCUUCACCCCAACUCCCUCAGCCCCAAAGACCACUGCUGACCGUACAACCACCCCAUGGAAGCAAUCAGUCUCCUCCUCCUUCAUGGCCCCCAAGCCACUCAAGCUCUCCACCGCAAGAACGAUGAGGAUCAAUGCCUCCGCUGAGGAAAAAACCGUGACCCCCACAAAGGAGGCCCCGGUAGGCUUCACCCCACCCGAGCUGGACCCAACAACACCCUCACCGAUCUUCGGUGGCAGCACUGGCGGGCUGUUGAGGAA